UUUUUUUUUUUUUUAAAUUACUUUUUAUAUAUAUUAAAUUCAUCCCAAACUGGGCUUUGGCUUUUGGGCCAGCGAAAUUACACGGAUACAAAAUAGGAAAAGCCCAAAUCGAAGAUUGACGGAAAAAGAAGAUCUGAUCCGGACGGUACACCGGAAAACACGAAAUCUAACCUAGAAGACCGACGCUAACAAGGACGACUCCAUAGCAACAGAGUAUCCGACGACAAGCAAUCAGCCGGAGUUAGCGGUUCUUGCCUCAAGCCAUCGCCGGAAACACGCCACAACCGGAACAUUCCUCUCGGAAAGGUAGAUCUGCCACAACCGAGACCUCUCCUCUCUUCUCCCCUACCUAGCAAGAAGAGAGAACACAAAUCUAACCCUUACCUCCUCCGUCAAGCACCCUCGAACCAACCCGAGCAAACCGAACUUCAGAUCCGGCGAAGAGAAAGCCAAACACGGCGGCGGCAGAUGGAAGAGGCUCAAACUAUCCACAAACCACACAGAUCCGGCCAAAGAAACCCGCAUCUAGCCAUCUAAGAUCCUGCCAAAGAUCUACCGUUAAUCUCUUCGCAAAGUGAUGAAACCCACCAAUCCAAAGCCCAACUUCCGCCGCAAGCCAGAGCUACAUCUCUGAAGCCACCGAGCCGAGAGAGACAGUCCCAGAACCGCCAGCGUCCUUGACCAGCAGAACGCAGGAACCGCACCUCCAAGCAGCCGAGAAGAAGAGCCACCAACUUGCAUCGAGCAGAGGAUCCAACCACACCACACAUCACCGGAGAAGAAGGCGCCCACCACCGCUUCAAACCCUGACCCAGCCACCGGCGAUGAAGAACAUAAAGCUACGGCGGCUGCGACUCGAGAAAACCCUAGAUCUAAAACAGAGGAGAGAAAAGAGAGAAAAGGAAAGGAACGAUUGUCCUCCUUUUUUUUUUUUUUUUACUUCUUUAAAGGUUGCUACUUCACUAUCCUUUUCUUAUAUGCAUGAUGACCUGACAAAUGAAAAGUUAUUUUCGGGCAUUGAGACAUGAGUUCUAAGAAAAUGGAUUCGAAUAAUCAACUAAACAAAAUAUCGAUUCUACCGGAUGUAUUUCUGGUUUUGGUCUUCUCUCUUCACUUGUCAUUUUAAAAAGUGUAACGAUGAGUGUUUUCAUUAAGCGCUGGAGGAAUAUCUGUUAUGAAACCACUAACAUUGUUUUUAAGAGAAUUCUAAUUUAAUUGUUCCGUAUGAAACAAUAUAUUUUUGAAAUUUUAUAUAUCUUCAUGUCUUUUUUAUCAUUUUAAUACAUAUUUUUCUUAAUUGUUUUUGAAACAAUUGGUUCAAUCUUAUGCAAGGGGUAGUUUAGGAAUAGUUGAUAUUUGUUCAUAGAAUUCAUAUAUGGACAAAUACUUAAAUAUUUAUCCUUUAUUUCCAAUUUUCCUUUAAAUUUAUGAUUCAUUUUAUUAUUUAAGGAUUAUAAGAAAGUUGAUUGUAUAUGCCUACCAACACAAAAGAAAAGAAAAAAUCGACACAUCAGCAAUAUUAUAAACAUUUUUUAUAACUUUAUUAGUGUUUGCUAUCAAUUCUCACUAGUUUGGUAAUAUUGAAUAUUUGGAUUCACCCAAUGAUAAAUUCUAUACUAAUGAUGUUCCGAUUUUUUAUGUGUAAGAUAUGUGAUGAUGUUAAUUUGUAUUAAACAAAAAAAUUAAAAAACAAUGAUUUAAUAUACCAUAAGAAGAAAUAAAUUUCAUUCACCACCUCCUUGACCAAAUUUGAAACAAAAAGAGAAAUAAAUCUAAGAAAAAUUAAUGACCUACCUUUUUUUAUUUAGAAAGCUGACUCUAUCAAAUAUCAAUACAUUAGAAUUAUUCAUUGAUCUAAAGAUUCAAUUAUGAUUAACAAAUGAGGGAGGAUUGAUACUGAUUUCAUACUAAAGACAAAAUUCUUAGACAAAAAAAAAAAAAAUUCUUGAGAUCUUGACGAUUCAGAAGCUCGUGGGUGUGGUCAAACUAUCAGGUGCGUUGGUUGUUCUAUUAGAAAAUCAAAAAAUCGUUUUGGUUUAUCGUGUUGUCCACUUGGUUUUCUAGCCUGUUAUACAUUUGAUAUAUGCAACAUAAUAUUAGAAACAGUGUUGAUCUUUACUUUUUCUUUUCUAACCACACAUUGAUAAAAAAAAUCCCACUCCUUGAUUGAUAAACCAAUUUAGAGAAAAAUAAUAAAUAAAAAAGUCUCAAAGAUCUAGUGAUUCUUUUAGUUAUGUACGUUACUUCCCACAUGAUGAUUGGUGAUCAAAAUUGAAUUCAACUUUUUAUCAGUUAUGGAUUUUUGUAUAUAGCUGAUAAAAAUUUGAUUACUUUCACCAAUAUAUUUGAUUUGUAGCUAAAAUAAAUUUAAUAGCCAAAUUUUGGAAAAACGAUUUGAAAAUUUUUGACAAGACAAAAAAAAAAUUUGUUUUGCAAAUUUGUGAAAUUUUAGAAUUUUAUUUUAAAUUAGGUUCUUAAAACAAUUGGGAAAUACUUAUUUUAUCAAUGGCUGGUCAUCAAAAUACUUGUGGAAAGAGGGAAUGAAAUCGUUCUCUUUCUAUUUCUCUCUCUUCUCUCUCCUGCGACACAAAAACUAGAUCUAGGGUUUUCCUUUUUUUUUGCCUUUUGUGCUUCAUUGCCGGCGAUGGGUCAACACAUGGAAGCAAGAGUGAGAUCUUCCUCCUUUCCGGUAGUGAUGUGGUGUGGAAGAUCCGGUUCUCGAUGCAAUUAGGCGGCAGAUUUCCGGUAGUUUUGGGAUGGAUUCCAGUUGAUCCACGUUCUGGUUUAAGGACGCCAGACGAAUCAACGAAUCACGGAUCUAUCUUGUGGCUCAACUUGUCUGGUUCGAUGUUGCGGUUGCGGGGGAAGUUGAGAAGCGGCUUGGUGGGGUUCACUGCUUGUUAUGGCGAUUAACGGCGGAUCCUUCUGGAUCUGGGAUGGCUAAGCACGAAGUUCGGCUGGUGGGUGUUCGUAUGACCCAGCGACCUUAUCAGCGGUCGUGAUUGGUAUUCGCCUGACCGGUUUGAGGAUGGCUAGAUCUCAGGCGAGUUUCAAGAGUGAGUUCAUUGGAAAGGAGGGUUAGUUUUCGCAUUCUCUCUUCUUGCUAGGUUGGGGAGAUGAGAGAAGGGGUCUCGGUUUUGGCGGAUCUACCCUUUCUGAGAGGAUUGUUCUAGGUUUGAUUUAUUUUCCGACGCUGAUUUGCGGCGGAAGCGCUAACUCCAGUUAGGGCCUGGUGUCUGGAGCAUGGUUGCAAAGGAGUGAUCCUUGUUAGCGUCAGAUCUAAUGGGUGAGACUCGUUUUCCGGUGUACCGCUAGUUCUCAGAUCUCUUUUUUGGUGGGCUCCGAUUUGAGCUUUUCCUAUUUUGUACCUGUGUAAUUGUAUUGGUCCAUAAGCCAAAGCCCAAGUUUUGGGAUGAUUAAUCAAAUUUAACUUUGUUGAAAAAAGAAAAGAAAAAAAGAAAUACCGAUUAUAUCAAUCGAUUUUUGGUUCGUCCUACAUAUGUUAUGUUUUGCUUUAAAGUUCUUUAAGAACUUACUGCAAAGCUAACAAGUAUUUUUCUAAACUAUUGGUGGAGGUCCAGGGAGAGUACUUGAGGCGUACAUUGAGUGGCAUGGAUGAAAUUGUGUAAAUCAAAACAUGAAAGGGGUAGGUUUUUGAUAUUUCAAAAAAUUUAGUGAUUGAAAUAGUGGAGAUGAAUUCAAUACCCAAUUUUACUAGUAGCAAGGGUGCUGAAAGGGAGAUACUACGUGAAUGUUCACACUUUGUAGGCAAAAAUAAACCCAAAUUCAUAGAAAAAGGAGAAUAAAUCGGUUUUGUGCUAUAUAGCUGUCCCUUGGAUACCAAAAUUUAUUCCACGACGAGCAAAUGGCAAAGGAAAAUUUCUCCACCCUAACUUGAUGAAAAAUCAUUUGAUUAAUCUGCCAAAAAAAUAUUGGCACUGACGUAUCCUUCAAGAGUUUAUGGUAUCAUACAAAAUGUGAGAGAUAUACGGUUAAGUCAAGAUAUUGGUGAAUUGAGACUAUAUAUGUUUGAGGAGGUAGAGUGGAGCCUGAGAUGUAGAGCAUUAAAAACUUAAGCAUAAAAAACUAGAGCUUUUUCGAAACUCAAACACUUUGUUUAAUAUAUUGCAUCGGCAUCCUUAGCAGAUACUUCAAGUCUGCAACAACGUGGAAUAAGAUGUGAUAUCACCUGUCAAAGGUCUGGGAAAUCACAAGAAGCCAUUCAUCAUGCCUUUUUUAUGUCUCCAUCCUCCUUGCAAGCUUAGGAGUUGUCAACAGUUCCUUUAACACUUGGAUGUUUUACAAGAUUUGUGCCCACGAAUUUGGAUUUUCUUUUUUGGAGAGUAUACCAUCUCACCAUAAGGAGCAACGAAUCUCUAUAGUUGUUUUUCGUGGAUUUUAUUUUUCUUAUGGAAUGAUACGAAUAUAAAGAUCCUAGAAAUGGAAAAUUGUCGAGCUUUUGUUUUUGCAUUGCAAUCUAAAGACACUUCCGAAAUCAAUUAUAGAGUUUCAUCUCAUUGACAAACAUCAUGGGAGGAAUAGUAAGGCGGAUCUUCUAGUUAGGAAAGUUCAGGAUAAGAAAUGCAGUGUGUUCAUUGUAUAGACACUUCUACUCCUUGGUUCAUUGAUGUAUUUUCUAUAAUAAGUAAUGCAGUGUGUUCGUAAAAAAAAAAAAACCGAUUUCAAUAACUUUCUCUAAGAUUCCAGAAAUUUGAACUAUCAUGGUCCCAAAAAGAUCCUAAAAAGGGAUGCCAUAGAGUUUCCCGAAAUAUGAUAGGUUUCAGGCUUUGACUUUACUAUCCUCGAUUCAUAUCUCUACUUCUUUCAUCUAUUUAAUGGAAUAAGUGCCAUUAAUUGAGUCGAGUGCAUCAUAAAUUGAAUCCAACCGUACAUAAUACCGCGCAUAAAUUGUAAAUAUUCAGUCAAUUCCGUCGAAAUCUGCUAUAUUGUAUUUUUUGCUCUAGCCAACUAGUUGAUAGUUCAUGUAAUGACUUGGUAAACAUCUUACAUGAUAUGUUACUCUUAAAAGACAUCUUCCAAAAUCGGAUACUCCUCUUUCCCAUUACCAUCUCAAAAUCUUGAAAAACCUUUUUUCCGUCAAUAUCUUAUAAUUAUAACGGUUUAGAAAUCCAAAUCCAAACAGGAAGAACAAUGUUAACAUAGCAAAUAUCUUGCAGGUGUAGUCGAACACUACAUGCUAACAUGUCCGCUUUGAAAUUCAAAGUGUGGAAUAAACAAAAUAGUAAACAAAGAAAACAAUUCCUUAGUCCUUGCAACCUAAAGGUCAAUCCAUAUUCACCAAAUCGGAACAGUCUGUUGAAAAAAUGCUACCCUUGUGUUUUGUUGGUCUAUCAUAUAGUAAGCACGGCCAGAUGAGUGUUUCUAGUUUGGAAUGUAGUUGAUAGAGGCUUCUUCAUAUAUUUCGAGCUCCCAUAACGGAUCAUACUACGUCAUCUUCAUAGCAAAACCAUCCCCGCAAAUAAAUAUGUCUCCUUCCAAAGCCAUUUAUAUGGAACGGUAUCUUGUAAAGCCUAAUUUUUUUGAUAAUUGAAACGUUUUUUUAGUGUAAUCAAGAUACAUAAGAAAUAGAUCGAGCAGAUUUUAUGCAAUUUGUAAUUGAAUUAGAUUUUCAAUAGCCUAAUUACCAAAUAUCACAUCGAUACUAAUAUCGAGAAAGAAAUUUACCAAUGUUUUCAUCCAUUUAUUGGAAUUAGUGCUAUUGCCUUAAAAGAAGUUGUGUCCCUUCUUUCGAGUGGAAUCAAAAUUGAGCUAAACAAUUUACAAUACCGGCCUGCUUUCUUUCAUCUAUUAAUGGAAUAAGUUCCAUUAAUUGAGUCGAGUGCAAUAUAAAUUGAGUCCAACCGUACAUAAUACCUCACAUAAAUUAUAAAUAUUAAGUCAAUUCCGUCGAAAUCUGCUAUAUUGUAUUUUUGCUCUAGCCAACUAGUUAAUAGUUCAUGAACCUACUUGGUAAACAUCUUACAUGAUACGUAAUUUUCAAAAGACAUCUUCCAAAAUCUGAUACUCCUCUUCUUCAUUACCAUCUCAAAAUCUUGAAAAACGUUUUUUUUUCAACAUCUUAUAAUUAAAACGAUUUAGAAAUCCAAAUCCAAACAGGAAGAACAAAGUUAACAUACCAAAUAUCUUACGGGCGUAGUCGAGAACUACAUGCUAACAUUGAUGAUGUAGUUGAUAUGUCUGAUGGAGUUGAUGAAUGAUUCAAGAAGUAUUACAAGAUGCUGCUGAUGGAGUCGUUGAAUGAUUCAAGAGUAAAUUAAGAUGAUGCUAUUUUUGUGUGAGUGUUGGUUUCUAGAAGAUUUGAGAAGAUAUGUUUGUAUGGUGUUUAGAGGAUGAAUCUGAAAGAAAAAAGACUUAAAGAGAUUCGAAAGACUUGAUGAAAGUGGAGUUUGAUAAGGAAAAGGAAAUUGAAAAAAGGAAAUUUUACUUUUCCUUAUGGAAUUUGCAAACCUUCUUCUAUGGUGACUAGAAAAUUGUUUUGGCUAUAUAAGGAGGAGUUGAGGACGUCUUGGAGAGGAAGAGAGCUGAGACAUAAAGAAAAGUCAGUGAGAGCUUUCUGUGAGAUUGUGUGCAACUUAGUUUUGCGGUUUGAUGCUUGUGUGAUCAAGUGGUUUUGUUUUGAAGUCUAGGCUCAGGGGGAGUUUAGCUCAGAGUUAGAUUAUCCUGAUUAAAUCUAGACUCAUGGAAGGAUAGAGAUUAUCCUUAAGAUUUCACGUUAUAGAAGGGAGCGAUAUAUCAAGAUGGUUGUGCUUGUUUUACGCGUUUGCAAAUAGUUUGCAUUUGCUGUCUUGUUCUAGUGAAAUCGAAUCUGGACUUGGUCCUGUGGAGUAGGAAAAACUGAACCUCGUUCACAAACUUCUUGUCUCGUUUACUUUAUGCACUUUAUUAUUACUUCAUCAGCACUUACAAACAUGUCUGCUUUGAAAUUCAAAGUGUGGAAUAAACGUAACAGUAAACAAAGAAAACGAUUCCUUACUCCUUGCAAACUAAAGGCCAAUCCAUCUUCACCCAAUCGGAACAGUCAGUUGGAAAAAUGCUACCCACGUCUUUUAUUGGUCUAUCAUAUAGUAAGUAUAUAUGGCCAGAUGAGUGUUUCUUAUUUGGAAUGUAGUGGAUAGAGGCUUUUUCGUAUAUUUCGAGCUCCCAUAACAUAUCAUACUACAUCAUCUUGAUAGCAAAACCAUCCACGUAAAUAAAUAUGUCUCCUUCCAUAGCCAUCUAUAUGGAAUGGUAUCUCGUAAAACCUAAUUUUUGUUUUUGAAUUACUAAGAGGUUCAGAGCCUAGGUCUGUACAUCUCUUCAGGCCAGAGACUAAAGCAUUUUAUAUGGUCCACUCCCAAGUGUCAUUCAACCGGCGAACUCUAGGUUUUGCCUGAGAGUUUUUACCAAUUGAGCUAUAUAUCGACACCUGAUCUCUAAAAACUAAAUUUUCUGAUAGUUGAAAUUUUUUUUUUUAGUAUAAUCAAGAUUCAUAAAUAAUUGAUCGAGCAGAUUUUUUGCAAUUUGUAACUUAAUUUCAUUUUCAAUAGUCUAAUUAUACCAAAUAUCAUAUCAAUACUAAUAUAGAGAAAUAAACUUACCAAUGUUUUCAUCCAUUUAUUGCAAUUAGUGCUAUUGCAUGUGACGAAGUUGUGUCCCUUCUUUCGUAUGGAGUCGAAAUUGAGCUAAAAAAUUUACAAUAUCACACAAGCAAUUGUUGAAGACCAUUACUAAUUGUUUUCUUUUUUCUAUCGCAGUUAUUUCCAAGCAGUGAGAUUUCAAGGAGAAUGGAUUCAAUUUACCAACGAGACAGAAUAUCAAGUCUACCAGAUGUAGUUCUGGUUAUGAUCCUCUCUUUCUUGUCCUUCAAGGAUAAUGUAAAGACGAGCGCUCUCUCGAAGCGCUGGAGGAACCUCUGUUAUGAAACAAGGAACAUUUCCUUUAAGGAAUCCGAGUAUGUGGACCACUAUGUCUCCGACUAUAUCUCUAAAAGGGUGUCAUUUGUUCGCUAUAUGCUCAACUGGGUCUCUAGAGUUCCCAUUCAGGUUAUCGAAAGUUUUGAAAUUUGUCUCUCUAAUCCAGUGGGCUUCGAGGCAGAUAUCAAGUCUUUGAUUGAGUUUUCCAUCUCCAAACAAGUAAAGAACUUAGUUCUUGAUUUCUCAAGCCCUUUUUGGAGUCACUCAUGGGAUGGGUUGAGAUAUGAUGACUUUGUUAUUGUCUUGCCUGCACUCAUUUACGGUCUACAAACCCUUGAAUCAUUGAAGAUUUAUGCUUGCUUGUUUGACCCCUCGAAGUUCGCAAACGUAGGACUAAGAAAGCUCUCUAUUGGUUGGUUAAGACUUAAAAAGAUCGAAUCUUUGCUAUCAAAGUUCCCUUUGCUUGAGAGUCUAAGUAUCAUCUCUUGUUACCUUGAUGAGAUUAUGUUAGCUGGGCAAAUUAGAGAACUGAUCAUUGAGAACUGCAUUAUCCCUUACAUGUCUUAUUCGUUUAACCUACCUAACAUAGAAAUCUUCAAGUACUCAGGCGAUCUUAUCUUCUUUGAUUUUGCGAAAGUGGAUAUGAUAUUACUGAAAGAAGUGUACUUAGAAUUUGGUGUAGAGUAUAAUAAUGAUGAACCAAGCUUUUCAACCGAAGAAGCCGGAAAUAUGCUUUCUCAUCUGCUUAAUGAUCUUCGACCUUCUAGGACCUUAAUUGUCUGCUCUUAUCUCCUUGAGGUAUGUUUUUAACAAUAAAUUCUUUGCAAUAUGAACAAAUAUUUAUAUAUUUCUUUUCUUUCAGUAUUUAAAGCGUAAUUGAGACUGAUUUUACUCCAUUUUUACAUUAGUUAUUAGAACGAAAUAUUUAUGCAAUAUAAUAAUAUAUAAUUAUGGCCUAGAGGAUUAUAAAUAUGUUGAACACGCAAAUCGGAUCUGUUCAUUUUGUUAAAGUGGAGUAGAUAUAUAACCCUUAAAUUAUUACGUUAAAUUGUUUCACAAAAGAAAUUAUCGAACCAUGUAUAUAUGUGCGUGUUUUAUUUUUCUUAUGAUAGGUGAUUCCAGAAUGUAACGAUCCGGUUGAUAUGCUUUGUGACCUCAAAACACAACAUUUGGUGCUAGAAACGCAUUUGCAUCCGAUGGAGUUUAGGGGAAUCAAGCUCCUUCUUGAUCAUUGCCCGAACUUAGAGACUCUUACUUUCAAGAUUCUUUCACCAAGACCUUUCCCUGUAAGAUUACAAUAUAUUGAAUACAUAUUAAUAGUCACAUUAUUCAGAUUACAAUAUAUUAAAUAACUUUUUAUUAUUCGUAUUACUAAAGGUCAUGUCGAUAUUAAUUUCGCAGAUGGCUUCAAAUGGCGGCAUAAGUUCACAGAUAUUUUGGCUGGAAAAUAUCUCAUCCAGGUGUUUGAGAAGGACUCUCAAGACCCUAGUGGUCAAGGGUUAUUGUAGUAGUUGGAACGAGUUUUAUUUGUUGAACUAUUUUGUUCAGCCGGCGCAUGGGUAUGCAUUGGAAAGAGUUGAACUCUACAUGCCGACUUGGUUGAAAGAAACUGAAAGGCAGUGGGCACAUUAUGGUGCCGCGAUGUUGCAAAGCACUUCAAAUCGAGUACAAGUUAUUUUGCACAAUGGGUUUUGGUGCAUUCGUUGAUGUUUUCAAGUUUAAUUCAUCGACACUAAGUUUGGAACUAUCGGAAUCAUGGUUUGUUUGAUAUAUGAAUAAGAGCCUUGGAAAAACGAGGACUUGGUUUUGGUUUGCUCUGCAAACCAAAAACAAUAAUAAAUAUUUGAGUAAUAUCAUUAUGAUAUCAUAUACUAUAUAAAGUUAAUUAAGACUCUUUUCAUUUUAAUAUUUUGUUUUUUUUCUUUAUUUUUUCUAUAUGAUUUCAGUUUUAGUAAGCUAUUUUUUUAUAUAUAUUAUAGGGCUUGGUAAUCAUUUAACUAGCUAUAUGUUGACAUUAGUGAUACAAUCAUUUAAGGACUGUCAUGGUUUUUGAUUAUCAUUCUUAAUUAUUAAUAUUUAUGCUUAAGAAUACUUGCCGUCAUAAUAAAAUUAUGAACAUGAUUACACAAAGCAAUAUGUUUGGUCUUUGUGAAAUCAUAAUUAGAGAAGGUAGAUAAGAGAAUAAAAGAGAAAUUUGGAUUCAAAAUUCAACAAACCAAAAGAUUCAUACAAAAACUUAUAAAGAAACUUUAAGAGAAGUUUUUGAUCUCUAAACAAAGCAUGCCCUUUCUAAAACUAGGUUAAGAUGUACAUAGAAAAGGGGAAAACAAAACGGGUCAACCCGGAACAAACCGGGUUUUGACCCAGUUUAGGCACCCAAUCGACCACUCAAUCGACCACUUGGUAUAUUGGGUAGAGCAAUCGAUCGAUCAAGUGAUCGAUUGAAGUGUCGUCCACAGCUCUGAUAACAUCACCAUCUGGUUACCACUAAACAUUAGUUUUUUGUUUGUUUUGAUAAUGUAUUUUUAUCAAAAAUUGAGAUAAGGCGCAUACAUGUUUACCAUAGAUUUUUGUUUUUUAUUUUACUAAUUAAUUCACUUAUUUAUUUCUAACUAAGUAUGUAAAAAGACUUCAAAAUUUUAGUGAUUAAAACAAUCUAAUAUCCGAGCAUCAAACCUAAAACAUGAAAAAUUACUAAUCGAUAUUUAAAUGAAAAGGAAAAAAUGAAUAUACUUACACAUCUUACGUACUUCUUGACUGUAUCUUUUUUUGUUUUUGAAUUUUUACCUACCUCUUGAAAUGUUUUUUAUUUAUCCCAAGAAUAAAAAAAUUAUUUUUCUUGCUACAAUUUAUUGUCAUUCAUUUUAAUUUUACAAAUAAUUUCUUUCAAAUAAAAAAACUUAUAAGACCCAACAAAAUUGAGCCAAACCGAAUUAAGCGAAACCGAACUGAGUUUUGGUUAAAGACUUAUGUUUUUUUUAAGAAAAUCAAAAUAACCGAAUCAAAUUUAACUUUAAGUCAAACCAAAUUGUCAACUCCUAAUUGUGAUUAAAAGGAGAUAUUGGCAAAUUUAGUUAGAGAAAUAAUGAUAUUAUUUUAUAUAUUACUAGAUAUGGACCCGUGCGUUGCACGAGUUACCGGUCGAAAUUAUCAUUCUUAAUUAUUAUUAUUUAUGCUUAAGAAUACUUGCCGUCAUAAGAAAAGUUAAAAUAUGAGAUAGUCUCUAUUCACGUUGUGUAUCUGAUGUAAAACAAGACAAAAGAAAGUAAAAUGCAAAAGACUAGUUUCGAAAGUAAACAAAGCGGAAAAAUGACAAGCUACUAAGCGAUAAUUAAAAGCGAAUUCUCGGGUUAAAGAGAAUUGAUUAGGAGUGAUAAAAAGUGGAUUAUGGAGCUUCAAACAACUUCUAAUAAGCAAUGAUCCUUAGGCCAUAUAACACUAAACAACACUAACACAUUUCCAUGACAUUAAUCCAUUUACUAAUCAAUUAAUCAUCAGCUUCUUCUAAAGACAAUCAAUUGAGUAACAAGCAUUAUAAACAAGUCUAUCUAGCCACUUAACACCCUAGUCAACAAUUUCCAAAGGUAAGGAAUGUAAAGCACUUAAAAGUUUUGGUUCGGAAAUUUCAUCGAACACCUUCCGGGCAUGAAGUUCCUAAAGUCUAAAUAAACAUGAUCAAGACUAAUCUAGCUUUAUAAUCAACCAAUAAGUAAGGAUCUUAAGUAAUCUAGCCCUAAACUCCAUAACCCAACAACUAAACCAUCCUAAUCUCACUCAUGAACAUGAUUACACAAAGCAAUAGGUUUGGUCUUUGUGAAAUCAUAAUUAGAGAAGGUAGAUAAGAGAAUAAAAGAGAAAUUUGGAUUCAAAAUUCAACAAACCAAAGAUUCAUACAAAAACUUAUAAAGAAACUUUAAGAGAAGUUUUUGAUCUCUAAACAAAGCAUGCCCUUUCUAAAACUAGGUUAAGAUGUACAUAGAAAAGGGGAAAACAAAACGGAUCAACCCGGAACAAACCAGGUUUUGACCCAGUUUAGGCACCCAAUCGACCACUUGGUAUAUUGGGUAGAGCAAUCGAUCGAUCAAGUGAUCGAUUGAAGUGUCUUCCACAGCUCUGAUAACAUCACCAUCUGGUUACCACUAAAUAUUAGUUUUUUGUUUGUUUUGAUAAUGUAUUUUUAUCAAAAAUUGAGAUAAGGCGCAUACAUGUUUACCAUAGAUUUUUGUUUUCUAUUUUACUAAUUAAUUCACUUAUUUAUUUCUAACUAAGUAUGUAAAAAGACUUCAAAAUUUUAGUGAUUAAAACAAUCUAAUAUCCGAGCAUCAAACCUAAAACAUGAAAAUUACUAAUCGAUAUUUAAAUGAAAAGGAAAAAAAUGAAUAUACUUACACAUCUUACGUACUUCUUGACUGUAUCUUUUUUUGUUUUUGCAUUUUUACCUACCUCUUGAAAUGUUUUUUAUUUAUCCCAAGAAUUAAAAAAUUAUUUUUCUUGCUACAAUUUAUUGUCAUUCAUUUAGUUUUACUGAUAAGUCUGUAUUUUACUGGUUUUGAGCAUUCAUUCGUCAUCACUUUAGCAUCAUUUCAUCACUGUUUCAUACGAUUCUUCAUCAUUUGUCAUCACUUUGCAUGAUUAGGAUAGUUUUGCAUACAUGUUGCAUUCUUGAGUUGUUUUCAGGUGAUUCGGAGCUGUUGGGAAGCAAAUUAGAAGAAGUGGAUCAGCACCCACCAGUAUGCUCGACCACAUGCUCGAUUACCAGUCUCCAGCAAGCUUCCAUCACUGUGCUCGACCACAUGCUCAAUUCACCACUCGAGUACUUUCAGCAACCAUCAUCUCAAAGCACUCGAUUGCAUCACCAGGCAACAACUCGACUCACCACUCGACCUCGUGGUCGAGCACCCUCUUCUUCAGCCACUCGACUGGAUGCUCGAUCUCCACUCCCCACAGCCAUUUGAUCACAAGCUUCAUAGUCUUCUCAGAUCUCAACUCAACCAGACAUUGAGCAUAAGGAAGAGAAGAGGAUGAAGCUAGACUCGAGAACAUACUCGACCAAGUGCUCGAUCGCAUCAUGACGUGAGCAAGAAACCGCAAAGGCGCCAGCUUUACUCGACUUCUCCACUCGAUCGCACGAGGUCGAAUGUCUCCGUAAACCGCCUUAAUACUUUGUCGUCUUGUGAUUUAGGGUUUCCUAGUAUUUGCUAUAAAUAGGUUGUUUCUCUUAAUUUGGAAACUAAGUUUUAUUCUGCAGAACAAUUAGUGUAUUCUUCAUCUUUGUAAUCCAGAUUUCUCUUAAUCUAUUGAGUAUUUGCUUUUGAUUUCUUCUACAAAGUUGUUCAUCUUGUUGAGAUCUUGCUAAUAUGAAGUUUUUAUGCAUUUCUGGGUUUAUGUUCAUGUUCAUGAGUUUUGAGUAGUGAUUAGGGUUCUUGAGGAUGGGUUAGGGUAGUUUAGAAUCCUUAAUCUGAUAGGUGGUUGAGUUUGAUUGGUAGAUCCCUUCUGGAUUAGUUGUUCUUAAUGCUGAUUGCUUUCUGAUCAACUGGAAUCUGAGCCCAGACAUUUCCGCACCCAAAAGGUGUUCGAUGAAAUGUCUGAACCACUAAUUCUAGAGAUUCGUGGCUCUGUACCAAGGUAUUGGUUACAGAGAGCGUUUUGGCUUUGACUUGUUGAUUCGUAAUGCCUGUUAGGUUAGCUCUCGUCAAUGGUGAUUGAGUCUGGGACUAGUUUAGCUUGAGGAUCUCUGUUGCGGUAGCACUUUGAUUUGGUUAUUGAACUUGUUGUUUAGGGAUAGUUUGUUGAGCAUGUUAACCACUUGUUAGAUUAAGGAGACUUCACUACUCGAUUACCCCAUCCUCGGGAAUUUCUCUUCCAAUUGAUUUCCUUGUUUACAUCGCUAUUGAUUGCUUGAUCUUGUUGCCUAUUGCUUUGUUUUUGCAUUUUUACUUAUUUCAUUUAAAGUACUCGACCACACACAGUGGUUUGGAAACGGACUGUGUGGUAGAGUACAUUUGUUACAGUUUCUGUUUGGUACUCGACCUGAUACUCGACCACAUCCAGUGCUUGGCAUCAACUUGUGUGAUCGAGUAUAUUGCCUGUUUCUAUUAGAAUUUCUGUUUUUGCAUGAUCACCUAGGAUUGUUAGAAACACCAAAACCUGUUAUUGCUUGGCUUGACUCUGUGAAAUCUGAUUGCAUCUUGAUUGCUAGCAUCACACCUUAAAUACUGCAAUGAAAUGAUAGUACUUUAAGGAAUUGAGAACUAGUUAAAAUCCUACUAUCAAUUUGGCGCCGUUGCCAUUUGGGUGUUUGUUUGUUACAUUUGAGACUUCAGACUUGCUUAGAUCAAGUUCUAUUUCAAUUUUCACUUAGGUUACUAACUUUGUGUUUUUCUUGUAGUCUUCUUGAUCCAGGUACAACCCUGCUGUAUGCAAACUCGAUCAAAAGGCAACCAGAACCUCCUUUUCAACGAUAACAUUGACCGUAUUGACAGAGAACUAAGGGAAAGGAGAGACACUACAGACCUUGAACACAACCAUCCUUUCAGAAUGGCUGAUGAACAAGAUGUCAACAAUCUGCCUGCAAACAUUGGUGCUGGAGAUGCACCAAGAAACCACCAUCAGAGGCAAGGGAUUGUGCCUCUUGAUGUCCAAAACAAUAACUUCGAGAUUAAAAGUGGUCUCAUCUCGAUAUUUCAGGGAAAAAAGUUCCAUGGUCUGCCUAUGGAAGACCCACUCGACCACUUAGACGAAUUUGAUAGGCUCUGCAGCCUAACAAAAAUCAAUGGAGUCAGUGAAGAUGGAUUCAAGCUCCGGUUGUUCCCAUUCUCCUUGGGUGACAAAGCACACAUCUGGGAAAAGAAUCUUCCACUUGGAUCCAUCACAUCCUGGGAUGACUGCAAGAAGGCCUUUCUUACAAAAUUCUUCUCCAACGCAAGGACUGCACGGCUCAGGAAUGAGAUCUCUGGUUUUGCCCAAAAGAAUGGAGAAAGCUUCUGUGAGGCCUGGGAGCGCUUCAAAAGUUACACCAACCAAUGUCCUCAUCAUGGUUUCAGUAAAGCCUCACUGCUCAGCACACUCUACAGAGGUGCUCUUCCACGGAUCAGAAUGCUUCUAGAUACCGCGAGCAAUGGAAAUUUUCAAAACAAGGAUGUUGCUGAAGGCUGAGAAUUGGUUGAGAACUUAGCUCAGUCAGAUGGUAAUUACAACGAGGACUACGACAGGACCAACAGAGGAACAGUUGACUCGGAUGAUAAACACAAGAAAGAGAUGAAGGAUCUUAAUGAGAAAUUGGAUAAGAUUCUCCUUGGCUAGAAGAAGCAUGUGCACUUUCUAGUCGAUGACGACCAGUAUCAAGUCCAAGAUGGGGAGGGGAACCAGUUAGAAGAGGUCAGCUACAUCAAUAAUCAAGGUGGCUACAAAGGGUAUAACAACUUCAAGACUAACAACCCCAACCUUUCUUACCGUAGCACCAACGUUGCUAAUCCACAGGAUCAAGUGUACCCUCCACAACAACAGCAAGGUCAGAAUAAACCUUUUGUUCCCUACAACCAAGGUUUUGCUCCCAAGCAACAAUUUCAGGGGAACUACCAGCAGCAACCACCACCUGGGUUUCCACCUCAGCAACACCAAGGUCCUGCUGCUCCUGAUUCUAACAUGAAGCAAAUGCUAUAACAGCUUCUCCAAGGACAAGCAUCUGGCUUCAUGGAGAUUGCUAAGAAGAUAUCUGAAUUACACAAUAAGCUGGACUUUAGCUACAAUGACCUGAAUGUCAAAGUAGAGGCAUUGAAUUCCAAGGUCUGAUACUUAGAGGGACAAUCUGCUUCUACUUCUGCUCCAAAACCUACAGACCAACUUCCAGGCAAAGCAAUUCAGAAUCCAAAAGACUAUGCUCAGGCUCAUACUAUCACCCUGCGCAGUGGUAAAGAACUUCCAACCAGAGAGGGACCUAAGCCAGCCAUUGAGGACAAUGCAGACCAAGCUGGGGAGGAUUUCAAUCUCAAUGAAGAUCAAGCUGACAAGCCAACAGAAGUACUCGACCCUCCACUCGACCAUGUUACUCGACCACCAAUUCCAGUAACAUCACCCACUGCUCUUAAACCAGUUGCUGCUAAAAACAAGGAGAAAGUUUUUGUUCCUCCUCCUUACAAGCCCCCACUUCCAUUUCCUGGUCGUCACAAGAAAGCGUUGGCAGAUAAGUACAGAGCUAUGUUUACUAAGAACAUCAGAGAAGUUGAAUUAAAGAUACCUCUUGUUGAUUCUCUCGCACUUAUUCCGGAUUCCCACAAGUUUCUGAAAGACUUGAUCAUGGAGAGAAUUCAAGAAGUUCAAGGAAUGGUAGUGCUGAGCCAUGAAUGCAGUGCUAUUAUACAGAAGAAGAUCAUUCCAAAGAAGCUUGGUGAUCCUGGCUCAUUCACUCUACCGUGUUCAUUAGGUCCUUUAUCAUUCAACAGAUGCCUCUACGAUCUAGGCGCAUCAGUGAGCCUCAUGCCUCUCUCAGUUGCAAAAAGACUUGGUUUCAGCAAAUACAAAGCUUGCAAUAUCUCUCUGAUUCUAGCAGACAGAUCCAUCAGAAUACCUCAUGGCCUGCUUGAAGACUUACCAAUCAAGAUCGGAGUCGUAGAGAUACCUACUGAUUUUGUAGUGCUUGAGAUGGAUGAAGAACCAAAGGACCCUCUGAUUCUGGGAAGACCUUUCUUGGCGACUGCUGGAGCUAUUAUUGAUGUCAAGAAGGGGAAGAUCGAUCUGAACCUUGGUAAAGACCUUAAAAUGACCUUUGAUAUAAAGGAUGCAAUGAAGAAGCCAACUAUAGAAGGGCAACUCUUUUGGAUUGAAGAAAUGGAUUAGUUAGCUGAUGAGUUACUAGAGAAGCUAGCAGAAGAAGAUCACCUUAAGAGUGCUUUGACUAAGAAUGGUGAAGAAGGGUUUCUGCAUUUAGAAACUUUGGGUUACCAGAAGCUGUUGGACUCACACAAAGCAGUAGAAGAGUCAGAAUCCUUUGAGGAAUUGAAUGGGUCAGCAACAUAAGUGAUGGCAGUGAAUGAAGAAGGUUCAACUCAGGCUCACUCGAGGACUUACUCAACUGAACACUCGACCACAACAGUUGACAUCCCUGCGGAGCUGAUCAUUCCAACAUCAGACGACUGGUCUGAACUCAAAGCACCAAAAGUUGAACUUAAACCGCUUCCCAAAGGACUCAGGUAUGCAUUUCUAGGUAACAACUCUACAUAUCCUCUCAUUGUGAAUGAUGCAUUAACUGAUGAACAAGUGCAUCUUCUGUUAACUGAACUGAAAAAGUAUAGAAGAGCCAUUGGUUAUUCACUUGAUGAUAUAAAGGGCAUUUCACCUAGUUUAUGCACACAUCACAUUCAUCUUGAAAAUGAAUCUUAUUCAAGCAUUGAACCCCAAAGAAGGUUGAAUCCUAACUUAAAAGAAGUUGUAAAAAAAGAGAUACUUAAACUAUUGGAAGCAGGUGUAAUUUACCCUAUCUCCGAUAGCACUUGGGUAUCUCCAGUUCAUUGUGUUCCAAAGAAAGGAGGUAUGACUGUUGUAAAAAAUGAUAAAGAUGAGCUCAUACCUACUAGAACUAUAACUGGACAUAGAAUGUGCAUUGACUACAGGAAGUUGAAUUCUGCAUCUAGGAAAGAUCAUUUUCCACUUCCAUUCAUUGAUCAAAUGCUAGAGAGGUUAGCAAAUCACCCAUAUUAUUGUUUUCUUGAUGGUUAUAGUGGUUUCUUUCAAAUACCAAUUCACCCUAAUGAUCAAGAGAAAACUACAUUCACAUGUCCAUAUGGAACCUUUGCAUAUAAAAGAAUGCCUUUUGGUCUCUGUAAUGCACCAGCUACAUUUCAGCGGUGCAUGACUUCUAUCUUCUCGGAUUUAAUUGUGGAGAUGGUUGAGGUAUUCAUGGAUGACUUUUCCGUGUAUGGCUCCUCCUUCUCCUCUUGUUUGUCAAACUUGUGCAGGGUACUUUCUAGGUGCGAAGAGACAAACUUAGUACUCAACUGGGAAAAAUGCCAUUUCAUGGUCAAAGAAGGCAUUGUAUUGGGGCACAAGAUUUCAGAGAAGGGUAUAGAGGUUGACAGAGCAAAGAUUGAGGUUAUGGUGCAGCUGCAACCACCAAGGAGUGUCAAAGAUGUGAGAAGUUUUUUGGGACAUGCUGGGUUUUAUAGAAGGUUUAUCAAGGAUUUCUCCAAGCUGGCAAGACCAAUGACAAGGCUGCUGUGUAAGGAAACAGAGUUUGAUUUUGAUGAGGAAUGCCUGAAAGCUUUUCAACUCAUCAAGGAAGCUCUGAUUUCAGCUCCAAUAGUCCAAGCUCCAAACUGGGACUAUCCAUUCGAAAUCAUGUGUGACGCUUCAGAUUACGCUGUAGGAGCAGUCUUAGGACAAAAGAUUGACAAGAAGCUCCAUGUCAUCUAUUACGCAAGUAGAACAAUGGAUGAUGCUCAGGUGAAGUAUGCCACAACAGAGAAGGAGUUAUUAGUAGUUGUUUUUGCGUUUGAAAAGUUCAGAAGCUACUUGGUGGGUUCUAAAGUCAUAGUCUACACAGAUCAUGCAUCCUUGAGACACAUUUAUGCAAAGAAGGACACUAAGCCAAGACUAUUGAGAUGGAUACUACUUCUGCAAGAGUUUGACAUGGAAAUAGUAGACAAGAAGGGUAUAGAGAACGGUGUAGCUGAUCACUUAUCAAGGAUGAGGAUCAAUGAUGAAGUCCCUAUUGAUGAUUCGAUGCCAGAGGAGCAACUCAUGGUUACAGAAUUCUUUGGAAAGAAUUACAGUGGGAAUGAGUUUCACCAACUGAAUGCUGUUGAAGGAAGAUCUCCAUGGUAUGCUGAUCAUGUCAAUUACUUGGCCUGCGAAGUAGAGCCUCCCAACCUGACCAGUUAUGAAAAGAAGAAGUUUUUCAGAGAUAUCAACCACUACUACUGGGAUGAGCCAUAUCUUUACACUCUCUGUAAAGACAAAAUCUACAGAAGAUGUAUCUCAGAGGAGGAAGUGGAAGGCAUCUUGCUUCACUGCCAUGGUUCAACAUAUAGUGGUCACUUCGCGACCUUCAAGACAGUAUCUAAGGUACUGCAGGCAGGCUUCUGGUGGCCAACCAUGUUCAAAGACGCCCAGCAGUUCAUUUCAAGAUGUGACUCAUGCCAGAGGAAGGGAAACAUCAGCAGGAGAAAUGAAAUGCCACAAAAUCCUAUAUUAGAGGUAGAAAUCUUUGACGUCUGGGGAAUCGACUUUAUGGGACCAUUCCCUUCUUCCUAUGGGAACAAAUACAUCUUAGUAGCAGUAGACUACGUGUCCAAGUGGGUUGACGCCAUUGCAAGUCCCACAAAUGAUUCAAGAGUGGUUCUGAAGAUGUUUAAAACCAUAAUCUUCCCAAGAUUUGGUAUACCAAGGGUUGUCAUCAGUGAUGGAGGCACACACUUCAUCAACAAAGUCUUUGAGAACUUACUGAAGAAGCACGGAGUGAAGCAUAAGGUAACCACUCCUUAUCAUCCACAGACAAGUAGUCAGGUUGAAAUCUCCAACAGUGAGAUAAAAGCAAUUCUGGAGAAGACUGUUGGGACUACAAGGAAAGACUGGUCUGCAAAGCUAGAUGAUGCACUAUGGGCUUACAGGACAACAUUCAAGACCCCUAUUGGUACAACUACCUUCAACUUUUUCUAUGGAAAAUAAUGUCACCUACCUGUUGAGCUGAUUAAAAGGCUAUGUGGGCAGUGAAACUCCUAAACUUUGACAUUAAAACCGCCGAGGAGAAGCGGUUGAUCCAACUGAAUGAUCUCAAUGAGAUUCGCUUAGAAGCUUAUGAGAGCUCUAAAAUUUACAAAGAGAGGACCAAGCUUUUUCAUGAUAAGAAGAUCAUCACCAAAGACUUCCAAGUUGGUGAUCAGGUGCUGCUAUUCAAUUCUCGCCUGUAACUUUUUCCAGGAAAGCUCAAGUCUAGAUGGUCUGGUCCCUUCUGUGUUACUGAAGUUCGCCCUUAUGGAGCAGUCACUCUAGCUGGUAAGAGUGGAGAUUUCACAGUGAAUGGCCAAAGACUCAAGAAAUACUUAGCAGAUCAAAUCCUCCCAGAGAUGACCUCAGUUCAUCUCCAAACCCUCUUGAUGUUUAAGGGCGUAAGGAAGUCAAGCUAAUGAAUUAAAACAAGCUCACUUGGGAGGAAGUCCCAUGUCUAUCCCUGUACAUAUUUUUACUUUCCUUGUUAUUUUUAAUGCAUUUUGGUAGUGCUUUCAGGAGAUAAGUGUCAUGAGCUGAGUAAAGUGGAUUCUGGAUUUGAGAGUUCAACAGAAUACUCGACCACGGGGGCAAGGAGCAAGUGAAGCUGUGCGAUCGAGUUUCAAUGGGGUUUUAGUCUCAAGAUUUUUGAAGUUUCAACAUGUCACUCUAUCACGCGAGGUCACAUGCUGAUGAAGAGUUGUGGUCAAGAUAUGAUGAUUUUGGCCCAAAAUUUUUAAAAAUCAUCACUAUACUCGAUCAACAGAAGCCACAUGGUAAUGAGAUGACGAAGUCGAGUAUGAUGUAGGAGAAGAAGCAGAAGCACAACCGCAAGACUCCUCAAUGGCUUGGCAGUACACACAAGCAGGCAUUGAUGAGCACAUCAAAUCCUUCUUCAGUUGAGGUAACAACUCCACUUCACCAUUGUUUAUACCAUCUCAUGUCUUCUUUCUUUAUUUGGUGUUGUCCUGAGUACUUCCAAAUUUUUGUUACAUAGAGGACUGUGUAAUUUAAGUUUGGGGGAGAGCUCAGGAAGUAUCUGAUGUGUUUGCUUUGUUCUUGUUUUCAAAUUUUUCUUGCAUUGUACAUAUUGUCUGCAUUCAUUUAUGUCAUUGAACACACCCUAAAAAUUUGAAAAAUUUCUGAAAAUGAUUUCACAAAAACAGAGUGUUCAUGUAGUUGCAUUGUCAUUUUAGGAUUGAGUCUAGAAUGUUUCAUAUAGGAUUGUUGCAUAUGCAUAGGGGAUGAUGAUGAGAUAACCUUGUAAGCUUGCUCACUUACUGAAUGAAUUCAAUGCCCUCGUUGUUAGUUGUUUAAUGUUUGUGAUAGAACUUGAAUUAAGACUGCACCAUAUUUGGAAUUCACAACUUGACUCUCUUGUUUUAGUUGAAGCAUGCUUGAUGUGAUUCUUUUCCCUAUCUAUUAGAACCUGAACUUGACUUGUAAUUAUCAUGUCUUUGCAUUGUUGUUGAACUUGUGGCUACCAAUAUACAUACUUGGAUUUUCUUUCACCUUCCACCACUCUUGCUAAUCCAAGUAGCUGAUCCCCAUCACUGGAACAGUUUCCCCCACCCUGAACCUAACCUUUCUUUCAAGCCCUGAAUAAAUUUGUGUGUGUGUAAGGCCUAUUUCCGGAUUGAGCUUGGUAGAAAGUGUUAGGUAUGAACCGACAAGAAUAGUAUCCCAUGUAGUUCUAGUCCACGCUUUUUGGGCUAGAUAGGACUAGGUGGGAGUUUUACUUUGGGUUUGGGAAUGUGUUUGGAAAGAAAAUGAGAAAGAAAAACAAGUGUUAUUGUUCUUAGGAGAUGGAAGUGAAACAGAAAAGAAUAUCAUGUUAGUCUAGUAAAGGAUUCGGGAAGCUUGAAAAUAAAAGAAGUUAGGCUAUGUGCAAAGUAAAAAGAAAGGCAAAAGCCUAGAAAUGUCUUAAGUCAUGAGAUGAAAAGAAGAGUCUUAGUUGCUAAAGAAAGUCCCAAUCCGCUAGAAAAUCUAAAAGAAAACCUCUCUUUAGAACAAAACCAAAAGGAAAGAAUGGGUUGAUCCAAAAGUUUAUUGAAACAUGCCUUGAGUGCAAAGGGUAGAAUUAGGAUCAUUUUUUUUGGGGGUUUAGAGAUAGGACCAUCUAUAGAGUUUGAUAUGCUUAUGGUUAUUUGGGUAGAUGAGGUCUGUUCUUGUAUGCGUAGGUUAGUUCUAACCUUUAGCAUUCUACUAAAGCUCUGUCCAUUCAUGAGAGUUCCCUGUUAUUGUGAAAAAGUCUGAAACCAUUUACAGAGGAACCAUCUUUGUUUCUCAGCCUUGUCCUUUAAACCAAAUGAGUUCUUCAACAAUGUUUUGCUUGAUUCAUGGUUUGAGCUUAAUCAAUGUUAAAGGGAAUUGAUGAUCUAAAGGUGUGUGUAGAUUGGAACAAAUGUUAGGUUGUCUUGUGAUGAAUAUGGCUAAUGUUUUUAAGUAGAGUUUGGUCUCUAUGCAUUCCACAACUACUAACUUGGACAUUGAGUUCAUUUGCUUUGUCUGCAUGCUUUGGUUCUGAGUCCCCGCUUUCAAACCUCUCCUCCGGCUUGUUCUUAAUUGUUUGCUUGAGGGCAAGCAAAGACUAAAUUUGGGGGAGUUGAUAAUUCUGUAUUUUACUGGUUUUGAGCAUUCAUUCGUCAUCACUUUAGCAUCAUUUCAUCACUGUUUCAUACCAUUCUUUAUCACUUUGCAUGAUUAGGAUAGUUUUGCAUACAUGUUGCAUUCUUGAGUUGUUUUCAGGUGAUUCGGAGCUGUUGGGAAGCAAAUUAGAAGAAGUGGAUCAGCACCCACCAGUAUGCUCGACCACAUGCUCGAUUACCAUUCUCCAGCAAGCUUCCAUCAUUGUGCUCGACCACAUGCUCAAUUCACCACUCGAGUACUUUCAGCAACCAUCAUCUCAAAGCACUCGAUUGCAUCACCAGGCAACAACUCGACUCACCACUCGACCUCGUGGUCGAGCACCCUCUUCUUCAGCCACUCGACUGGAUGCUCAAUCUCCACUCCCCACAGCCACUUGAUCACAAGCUUCAUAGUCUUCUCAGAUCUCAACUCAACCAGACAUUGAGCAUAAGGAAGAGAAGAGGAUGAAGCCAGACUCGAGAACAUACUCGACCAAGUGCUCGAUCGCAUCAUGACGUGAGCAAGAAAUCGCAAAGGCGCCAGCUUUACUCGACUUCUCCACUCGAUCGCACGAGGUCGAAUGUCUCCGUAAACCGCCUUAAUACUUUGUCGUCUUGUGAUUUAGGGUUUUCUAGUAUUUGCUAUAAAUAGGUUGUUUCUCUUAAUUUGGAAACUAAGUUUUAUUCUGUAGAACAAUUAGUGUAUUCUUCAUCUUUGUAAUCCAGAUUUCUCUUAAUCUAUUGAGUAUUUGCUUUUGAUUUCUUCUACAAAGUUGUUCAUCUUGUUGAGAUCUUGCUAAUAUGAAGUUUUUAUGCAUUUAUGGGUUUAUGUUCAUGUUCAUGAGUUUUGAGUAGUGAUUAGGGUUCUUGAGGAUGGGUUAGGGUAGUUUAGAAUCCUAUAACAGUAUACAUAGUAGGUAGCGAGAUCAAAUAAAACCUAGUGCGUCACUAUCAUCAUCUUACGCACCGAUCGGUCUAUCUGAUCAGGUUCAGUAUCCAAUCCUGUGUAGGGCGGGGGAGCUGCUAGUUCGCUAGGAAAAUAGAAAAAGAAUAUAGAAAAUCUAUAAUCAGUCAAUUGCAAUUGGAGAAGAAAGUUAGAUAUACUUCUCGCUAAUCCUUCUUCUUUUGAUCAGCCUAGCAUCUCCCUCGUGCUUAUUUAUUCUUUCACUUUUACCUACUGCAAGACACAUGCCCAUCCCAAGAGCGCUAUGAGUUCAUAGAGUGGAGAAUUCUUCAUGGUUCAUCCUUUUUUCAUGCAAGGCUAGUACAGAUGGUGAGAAUGCUCUGGAAGAAGGUGUCCCAGUCCGUAGGGGCACUUUCAAUCAACCCGGUGGGCGCUCAGUGACUCGACUGAAACGAGAAGGUACUUAUUGGUCCAACGGAAUUCUGCUUUAUCAUGAAAGUUAUCGACCGAGGAAUUCCAUUUCGGUAGCAGGCUUCUAAAUACGCUGCUUGCCCGAACCAAGGACCUUCACAUUCUAAUCAAAGGGAAGAUGCUAAGGGUACCGAUAACUUCUGAUUAUGGAUUCUAUCCAAGGAUCGGGUUCUAUCUAUGAUUGGUGCGACGAAUGCGAUGACUCUUGGUUAAGGCCUUGCCUUCCCUCAUCGAUCAAAAUGGCCAGUCACAAUUGUUGCGCCCUGUCUCCCUGCCCUGAGUACGUCCUGGAAAGCGAAUUCUUAAGCUUGGCCCCUCUCUUUAUUUGAAAUGCUUUAGUGAGAUUCACAUCUCGGGAAUAUUCUUCGAUACGAGCUACUGUACCCUUAUCUUAUAAGAAGCCUUCUCUACAACCUUCACUAUUUUAUUAGUUUCUAGUAAGUAAGUCUCCUGAUGCUACCCAGAAGCUCCCUCCUGAUUCUCGUUGUUAGGUAUUUGACUUAGAAAAGAGCAGCACUAAUGGGAUAUUUUUCUUAAUGGUAUUCUGCUACCCUCUCCUUUUAGUCGAGUAAUCAAUCCCUCUCCUCAUCAACAAGUGGAAGAGUCACGUCAGUGCCUAAAGGUCAGUUUGAAACUCCGAGACUGCAGCUCCAGCAGAAUCCUUCCUUGGUUCAGAUUCCUUCCCUGCCUUGGGAUGCCUUACUUUCUUUAAGGGAAAAGACAGUAUGAUGGUGGUUUUUUUCCCUUACUUCUGUUUUAGUCGAUCGAGUAGUAACCCACUAGUUAUUCAAGCAGUUUUCUUUCCCCUAUCCCUUUAGCUUUAGUCGGCCGAGCAGGUUCUAACCUUUUCUUCUGGUCGAGUACCUUCGUUCCUCUUCCUCAACUGGUUGAUUAGGUGCUCCAAGAUCUGGAUCUUCUAUUUCAUAAAACUGGAAGUCUUGACUCGCCCUUCUCUCUCUUUCUGUCCCAAGGCAAUGUUCAGUCGCUGACUUAGGCUUCUUUUCAACUAUCAGCCUGUCGUUCGAAAGCAGUCCACUCCGGCUCUCUGGUAUUGAUUUUAUAUGGCAAACCUCGGCUAAUAGAAAAUGGACUUUUCAGAUCCCAAGGGUAAUCAAUCACUACUGAUAGGGAUCAUUGGCUCAAAAGUCACUAUCUUGGGAAUAGCUGUGCAUGAUGUGUGAUGGUAUGUGGCUUAGCUGUAUUCCUGUCCUUUACUGUGAUGUCUUUCAUUUGUAUAGGAAAGGUGGGAAGUACUCCAAGUGAUCGAAGCUAUCCUCUGCUGUUAGCAUCCGUACUGUCAGCUUCUGUUUAAAGAGUAUUCAUUCCUCCGUUCGGAUAGUAGGGAUCAGGUAUGUGGCGAAGGAUUCUUCCUGUUGGUAGUUGGGAUGUAGUUUAAUGAGUUCACAACAAUUACCCCAAGGUUUCUUGAUCCAUCUUUCAAGCUGUAAGGCUCGCUCUGUUCUCAAGGCUUGGUAGCUCUUCACAAAGUCCUCCUUUUUCUCACGAGUUGGAACCGUGCCAACACAUUUUCAUAUCGUCCCCAGUAAUAGAGUGAUAGGAGGAACCCCUUUCAAUUAUGUAUUACGCCUUAAUCCAUCAGGGAUAUCUAAUGAAUUCCACAGACUUUGAUUGAAACCACUAUUAUCUAUGCUUCCUUUAGAGAAAGAAGAUCUCACAAGAGAAGGGAUUAGAUACGCCCCUACCUUACUUGUUCACUGUACUAGAUCUCCAUAUCAUAUGUGUAAAGCGCCCACCUUGGCUUGGAUACGAAAGAUGGACUGGAGUGGUUACACUAGCCGAUGCUUAAGCGUCAGCCCCCUUCCCCAUAAGCCUCAUCCGUACCUUAAGUCAAUAAGUUGCCGACUCGGCAUCCGCCGAAGCCUAUAAAUGUUCAAUAUAAAGUUCCAUCCUCCAUUUAUUUCCCACGGAUAAGGAAAGCGGUUGCCGUAAGCUUCAAGCUUAGUGAAAUGGGUAGACUUCCUCGUAGGGCCACCAACUGUUCAAUCUCUAUCUCCAUCUGCUACCUUCCACUCUUUCAAUAGAAGGUCAUCAGUCCUCCGAGACAGAACUCUGGGAAACUUCUUUCUAUAGCGAUUGGACACGUGUUUUUAUCAAGUUAAUGCAACUCCGUUUCAAUUCCUUAAUUUGACUCUAACUAUAUGUCAAUACCCCCGCAGUCCACUAUAGGGGAGAGUUCACUCCAGAUAGGGGUAUUACCAGCGGCUUCGAUCACAUCCUAUCCUCUCUAGCUACUGGCUUGCUUCCGGGGAUUGUCGGCAAAGAGAGCGAGUGAGGGAGUCAGGUUUAGGCUUGAACACUAGGUUCAAUAGGUUAGGGAUCCUGAAGUCCCAGAGCCUAUUCGAUAGGUAUCCUUUUACGCUAUUUGCUUCGAUGCUUUACUACUCUUGAAUGUCGGAAAUCGGAUUCUAUUUGAUCUUAUUUCUUGUCUGAGACUGAUGACAGCUUAGAAGGAAAGUGAGGCACUAUUCGCUAAUCAGGAAAGAGGCUUGACUCUUGCUUGUCGAUCUCUAUUCCUCCUCGUACAUUAAGUAGAGCAGGGAAUAGGAAUAGUAAAAGAAAAGGCCUAGAGCAAGAGAAUCUAGCUAGUUCGAUUUGAACUAAUCGCUGUGAGGGAGGAAAGAUCAGAUCUCACGUAAAAAGUUGUAGAUAGUCUAUUCAAUGGCGGAGUCCUUUGUGAAAUAAUAAGCUAUGGAAUGUGGAUCGAACGAGAAGGAUUCGAGCAAGUACCGGACACAAACAAAAGAAACAAGAAAAGGGCCACGAUCCUAUCUUCGUUUUCGCCCUGCCCUUGAACGAUAGAAGAACUACUUAUCUUCUCUUAGGUAGGGGUCGAUCGGUUCGCAUCUAUGGUAAAUCAAUAGGUCCGCGGAUCUAUUCUUCUAUACGAGAAAUUGCCAUCUCGUAGCACCAACCACCACGACACCGAUUUCCUGUCGUAGGGAGCACUCCAUUCCCAACUAUGGAAAAGAAACUCUUGUCGGCUGACUCUGGCUAUAGGGAUGUUACAGAAUUCCCUGCGAGAAAUCCUCCCGCUGCUAUUGUAGGGGCUUAACCAUUUUCGAUGGCAGAAGCAUUGGAUGCCCUUUUUUCUCCAACACUAGAUGCGCUUGAUCUAGCCCUCCCUUGGAACUAGAUCCCUAACUUGGAAAUCAAAGAAAUAUCUAACUGGCUUAUUUGCGUACUUAGCAAUGGCCAUGAAUAGCACUUUGACAUAGAUUUCUAUUUUGAAUGCCACUACUUCAACUACUGCUUCAAUGGGAAUAGCAGAAAAAUGGAAUUCAGAAAGUGGCCCUCUAAGGAAAGGAAAAAAAUGUAUAUCUUAUCGUGAGCCCUAGAAUCAGUUUGCCUAAAAUCACUUGAUGGAACAGGAGUUCGAGUUUGAGUUACUCCAAGAACUACAGGGAAUGCCAUAGUAGAGCUAAAGCCAAUAGCCGUAGCAAUGAAAGCUGUCGUUCCUGUUCCUGUCAUUUCACUACUAUUCCUUUUCUUUGUCCGGAUGGGAAUAAGUUGUGAUAUAACCCCUACUGUGGUGGAUCCAUUGUUAGGAGGAACCCCUGUUCCAGCACGAAGUACGGUAGCCGGCUCAGUCUCAUAACAUCUUCCGAGUUUGGAUACCUAUAAAAAGGAGGAUAACCGUUUGAUUGCAUUAAGAUUAUGUAUACUGCUAUCCUUCCUCAACAUCUCUUUGGGAACAUCUUCUUUCCUUCGACUAGGUCAUCCCUACGAGGAACAUAUCUAUCUCCUACCCCGCCGAGUAGGUUCACAAACCCUAGUAGGAUCUGCUUCUAAUGCAUGCUUCGCGAGUUCUACGGCUGUCCAUACCCUAUCCAUCCUUAAUAACCCGGACAUCUAUUUCUUUCUAUCUGUUGAUUAUAGCUGUGAUUCUGCUGUUGUAGAUCAAAUAAGAAGUUCUAGUUCGGAAUGUCAAGAAACUAGACAGCAAAGAGAGCUAACGAGGGUAAUCGCUCAACUAGCAACACUUGCUGAAUAGCUACAAGGAAGAAGAGGAGAGAUUCAUUAAUGACAGAAGAAGCUAGGCUACCCUUAGCCGCCUCGAUAGAAGCUUUGGGAACGAUGAGUGGUUUCGCAUAUUUCCACGUGUCCACAUGGAGUAUUUGGACAUGAUGGGCUCGGAUCAUAGGCCCAUAUUUAGAACUUUCGCGGCCGAAGAAGCGUCAGUUUGUGGAAAGUUCUCCUUUGAGAAACGCUGGCUGUCGAAACCAGGGAUUGGGGAUAUUAUAUAUAAGGGCUGGAAAGGAGGCUGGACUGUCGCAAUCAAACUCUCCGCCUGCCGGAUCAUUCCCCUGUAGCUAGCUUUGAUUAAAGAGUCUCUUUCUUGGUUCGUUGGGAAUGUGCAUGAUGAGAAAAGGUAGUUAGCUUAUCUGCCUUGUUCCUUUGCUUGCAUGAAGAAAGACUCUCCUCUGUUUGUUUUGUGGGAAUAGGCAUGACUAAGCCAGUUAGUUUCCUACGGCGAGCUCGAGCAGCUUUGUAUUGCGUCGAUAUCUUUCCAUGACAUGCCCCGCUAUCUAUGUUUACUGGAACCAGGCCUUAAGGUGAAGGGCCGCCUCUCUAAGAAAAUAAGUUUGGGGGAAGAAGAGCUCUUGCAAUGGAUUCCUCAGUAGGAAAUGCAAAAGAAGAAAGAAAGAGCAGUGCUUUCUUAAUAGUCGUGGGAGUCCGGGUCUAAGGAUCCCUUUAGUCGACUAACUGACGUUCCUUAUAUUUCAUAGGUAGCGCGAAGGGUGGCUCUUUUGGGCAGUUGCUAAUGCUGAUGGGUUUCUAGUUCCAUGGAUGGAUAGGAACUAAGCUAAGUCUGCUAAGUAAGCAGGGAGUUCUACUUUAUUUUAUCAGAAGAUUGCUGCGCUAGUUCCGAAUCUUAUCUCUUACCUUCCGUAGUUAAUCCCUUUUGCCAACACAGGGCUACGCUUGUUUACAACACACCCUUGUGAAGUUGCUAAACUGGCUAUCCUUUUCAGGAGAGUUCCUUUGAUCUGAUCCCAGCACAGAGGAUAGAACACAGAUAAGUAAGUCAACUAGGUUAGGUGAAGAUGGGCAGCUAAUCUACUAAGUUGGUUGGUUGAGCACACUCCUGGGAAGGGGUAAACUGACUCUUAGGGUCUUUCGCCCGCGUUUAUACUAUAGUGGCAGUGGCACCCAAUUGAUUUUAGCACGAGAUAGGGACCAAUCUUCAUCCACGGGUGUGUGCUGGAAUGUGUGCAAUACUAGUUUAUCGGGCUUGCUUCGCUAGGAGUAUACAGAUAACAGUUAGGAAGGAAUAACCCAGCACUGCGCUAGAGAAAGCAGAGGAAUACCGAGAAGUAGAGAGAACUUGCUUCGCUAGGAAAGGAAAAGGGAGAGUUGGUUUCACCUUCCCUAUAAGAACUAAGGUUUACCCAACUCCCUAGCCAUCUAUGAAACUAUGAUACUUUAUACUUCCAAACCUGAAAAGGAAAAGGAAGACUAAAGCAUGGGACUAAAGCUGAGGAGGAGCUAGUGGAACUGUCUACCCAAGAAUUAGAACAAAAGCUGCUCACAGUACACCUUUGUUUAACUGUACGAGCGAGAAUACCAGCUAGUCAUGUAACUGCCAAGAAUAAGGAUUCUAAAGGAAAGAGUUAGGUGUGCCAGAGAUCCUGGGAUUCCCUUUGGAGAGGAAAGCUCCUACUAUUACUAUUAAGGAGCACUCAAAGCUUGCUUCGCUAGGACAGGACAGCACAGAAGAGUAGAUAGCUUGCUUCGCUAGGAGUGUGCUAACUUAUUCUCAUAGGCGUACCCGCGUAGAAGAAGCUACCUUCCUCAAACUCCUCUGCGCAACCCACCCAGCCAUACCAGAGAGUGCUAUCACAAGGAAAUUGUCUGGUCUCAGAAGAUGAGAGCUUCUUUUUUAGCAGAGGUACUGAUGUCAGGAGAGGGAUGGCGUACAGACCUCAGUGUGCACUAGCUCCAAUACUCUCUUAGUCAACUCUUGGCUUAUGCUGUCCAAAUCCUCCCAGCUACAUUAGCUGCAUUAGCCGCUUGUCUCGGUCCUCCAGCUCUGCUACGCUACCCCGGAAGACUCGCACCUUAUAAUAUAAGGAGGUAGGCUUAGAGCCAGCAAUAAAGCUAGCAAAGACAGCUCUACCGCGAGCUAAUAGUCUUUGCGGACAUGCAACCUUCAUCUUGACUUCUAUGGAGCGCAUGAAAACGAAACUUUUCCAUCUCAUAUAGCGACGAAUUGAUGCAACCUUGUUUUCCUUCGUAAGACCACAUGAGAAACCAAAAAGUUUUCACUCCACCAUGGCGAAAACCUAGCAAGGCCCUUUGACUCUUUGGAUGACAUGAAAAAGUAGAAUCUGGCUUCUACCCCUAGUGGAAAACCUAGCAACCCAGUUUGACUCUUUGGGGACCCAUCGGUAAGAGAAAUGUUGCCUUCUACCAUGGCGAAAACCUAGCAAAUUUGAUCAUUUUCCACGAUUCCUAAGAGUGAAAUCAUCGAUAGCCAAAAUACCGGGGUUUGUGUCGCUUGUCUCUUUUUGAUCGGCUUUCUAAGUAUGAAUUGAGUUGACAACCAAAAUUCCCGGGAAAAUGCAACUCUUCACUUUUUGUUAUGAUUUCAAAGAGUGAAAACAUCGGCAAGCUCAAAACACGGGAAAAUGGAAAUGCUCUAAACCGUAGAAUCACAACAGCCUUUCUCUUAGGGCAACAGGGGAACAAGGAACCUGGGAAAGACCAACACAACUUCCUUGACUUCCUAGGCUUCUAUGCGGAGAAGGGUUUUAGGAAAAGAGGAGAACUAAGAGAAAGAACAAGGGAAGAACAAACCAAGGCUUGAAGACCUAACUUCCCUCUCUGGGUUACUGACCUUACCUUCCUAGGCUUAUCUCCCAUUCCUAUAACCGGGCUUAGCUUCCUAACCUUACUCCUCUUCCAGGGAGAACUGACUUCCCAACUGAGCUUACCUUCCUAACACCUAACUCAGCUGGGAGAACUUCCUGCCAGGGCGAUCCUUCCUUCCCUUCCUUCCAUUAUACCGGGCCGGGGAGAGGGUAAUGAACCAAAGAGUAGUAUACUUUAUGAAUGGGAAAGCUGUCAUCAAGCCAGAUGCGGAUGAUAUUCUAACUGCUGCGCUCUGCUGCGCUUACGCCUUUUGAUUAGACAACUCCUUGUGCCAAGCUAACUAACUAGGAUUUGUUCAAAGGAAUCGUUUAAACAUAAAGAAGAGUUAGCUACUCUGACGAAUCUAAUGUUAUCUGCGUUGAGGUUCAAAGAAUGGGUGAUUCCCUAUACCCUAUAUAAGAUAAGUGAAUUAGUUCUUCAAUCGAUUCAUCUCGGCCUUAGACUGCUACGGUUAACUCUUUCCCCGAGCACCUGGACUGGUUAUCUCGAAAGAAAUGCUUUCAUAUCAUAGCUGCUGACUUGGCUUUGAAGAGCUGAAGGAACGGCUACUGAUUAGGGACUCAAAUCAUUUCAUCCGGAAGUGACUGCACUCGCCUAAGCAAAGGGUAAGCUACUUUCAUAACCACCAGGAAAGCCUAGCUACUUGUUCGUUCCUCACCCUGUCCCUUACCUCUUACCGUGGGAAAAGCUGUUGAUAUUCGUAGAUCGUUCGUUGAUUCCCUUGCUUUAGGGUAAUGAUUCUUCUGGGGCCACUAAAGAAAGAGUUCUGCCUUCUAGCCAAGCCUUUGAGACCAAGUCAAGCUUCCCAGCAGUCAACCAAGAAAGAGUGUUUCUCUCCUACUGAAGAAAUGGAAGUCUGUCUGCUUUCCAUCUUAGCAUUGUUAACCUCUGCUCUUUCCAGAACAGGUUAUCUCUCAAUCAAUGUAUUCACGCAUCUCAAAAGAGUGAAAAAAAGUAGUCCUUCCUCCCAGAGCUGAAAUAGCCGGGCUUCUUCCUUCAACUAAGGUAAUGAUGACCCGAAGUCUUAGUGUGGCUGACAAGGGGGCUUACAAGAAUGAACUGUUGAACUAGCUCGCGCGGAAAAGAUAUAUCUGUUAGUAACUAAGAAAGUGCUAAUCUCGCAGAGUCAACUGUUAAGAAGCGGCGGAGAGAGGUGUAAAUCAGCAAGCCUUCCAACAAAGGAUUUCGCAGUGGAGAUUAGGUGAUAGGCCUGCGUUGGCACAUAAAAGAAUUUCCAACCCGACCAUUCAAGGAAAUAGACAAGAUUUAAGCUCCUUGCUUGGGUUCGGUUAUCAUUAAAUGUAUAGGCUGGGGUAUUGAAGUGAAGAUACUUGCAUAAAUAGAAACUUCGGGCGGUAGAAGAGAGGCCCUUUCUGAUACGUCAAAAAAAGAGAGACUGAUUCUGACUCUCCCAAUUAAGGAAGACGGAAAUGGCUGGUGCCGGUUGGUCCAACCAAGAAAAAAGAGAUGGGAUUUGUGACGAAAGCAAGGAAGACUCUUAGUUGUUGAAUGCGAGUCACUACAUAGGUGGAAUUUGAUAAGCUCCUUUAGGCCCGGCUAGCCCGUAGAGUCUUAGGGGUUUUCCCCACUUUCCCUGACGCAAGGUCGGGGUCUUUACGAAUAGGACAAAUAUACACCAACCCUUUAAAGGAUGAGGUUCCAGUUCGCCAUUCCUAUUAUUUAUAGGCUUCCAGUCUCCUCAGAAGUCCGCUCUUCUAUCUUCGCAGAAUUCACCUGGGUCUCUUACUAACCUUCGCGUCUAGGGCAUGAUGUCUUUAUUUAAGAUGUCAAUCGUCUUGUUAUUCUCAAUAAAUUCUUCCAGGCCUCUCUACGGGAUUGGAAGAAGGAGAGGAGAAGGAGAGAGUGAAAGGAGAUAAGUAAAUGUUAUCACAGACGGAGAUGCCAGUGAGAAUACUGAACAGACAACAGCUGAGGAUACACAGCCUAAGCUCUUUGACCAUAAACCAUCCAAUAAUAAAGAGAAGAUGUGGAAGGGUGAAAGAUAGUGUACUAACGAGAAAGGUGAAAAGCUAGGGAAAUUCCUGUUCAAGUUUCAGCUUGAUAGCUAUAUCUUUCCUUUCUUAACUGGGUUUUUGAACUUCACAUAUAUAUAGCCCAUCAGCUUGUGACUUCGCACUCUCAGUUUCGAGAUUGGGAAUCGACAGAACUGCCCUUUCUUAACUUAAUUAUAAAGGGUAGCUUAGCUGGUUAGAUUUACUGAAGGUAAUUCAAUCGCUGAACGUUGAUAAUAGCUUUCGAAAAGAGAUCCUGACUCUCCAGCUAGUUCAAACUUCCCCGAUUAGUAAUGCUCUCACCCUGGGGACAUAUCUCACCUUUGUCAGCAAAACAGUAGAACCAUCUUCAUUUCUCAGUCUCACACUUCCUAUUCCCUUCACUGUUGACAUGGUGUCAUUUGCCAUCUUUACUUGUUCCACUACCAGCAUCUGAUAAACUCACAAACCAUUCUCUUCUUCCGAAAGAACAACCUGUGUCAAGUAUCCAGACUUCCCUUUGUUAGGAAUCCCUAAUUGAAAGUGAGAAGGGACCUACACUAGUAUAUAAAGGACAUGGGCCUCUCCACUCAUUGCCAAUUGGUUUUGAGUUGGAAGCCCAUGAACACUCACAUGGUAUCAAGAGCCAUGGAGGGUUCUCUUGAGUCUUAUCCUUUUCCUUCCAAUAUCAAUAUUACUAGUUGUGUCUCCCAUUAAACUCAACGAUCGGAACUAUCUUCUAUACGACGAAGGAAGGGUGCGAUUGAGUCCGCUGAACUUGGGCGAGAGAUGUGACUUCGUUCCUCUCCUUUCAGUCGAGUUAUUUAAACCUCUCCAGAGCUCUGGUGUCUACGAGAAGCUUCAUGAGUCAAACAAUUGAGGAAGCCGAUACUUAUACUUUGGUAGAGAAUCUCGCACAAAGCAAUGGGAGUCAUGGCUCGGAUUAUGAUCGGACUACAAGGAAAAACAAUGAUGAAUCUCAUCAUGCCAUCCAAGAGCUGAAUGCAAAAAUGGAUAAGAUAUUGAAGCGUGACCAAAAGAAAAGAUGACGGUAAACUCUUGUGAAGAGUAUAGUGGAUAUCAAGGGUACCAAGACUUUAGUGUUGAAGGGUAUGAGGAGCCACAAAAAGAGUUGAACUAUGUUAGAGGUCAAGGAUUCCAACCAAGGCCUUUCAACCAAGGGUUCCAAGCUAGAGGGGCUACUGCUCCAACAAAGACCACCUUACCAAGCGCCCUACCAAGCACCUUACCAAGCCCCUUACCAAGCUCAAGGGAGUUCUUCUUCUGCUCCAACUGCACCAGAUAGUGAGGUGAAGCUAAUGUUGCAACAAUUCCUUGAAGGACAAAAGAAAAGUACCAUUGAGAUGAACACAAAAGUGGACAACAUGUACAAUGAUCUUAAUGGGAAGUUUGAAACUUUGGCCUCUCAUGUCAAAUCUCUUGACAACCAAGUUGCUCAAACCGCCUCUUCAUCAAAGAGACCCAUGGGAACACUACCCGGUAAACCGGAAGCAAACCCAAGGGAACAUUUUACAUAAUGCUUAGAAGUGGAAAAGAGCUUGAGGAAGUUGUGAGAGAUGAUAAGGAAGAGGAGCAAGUUGUUGUGAGAAAGGCUAAACAGAUCGUCAACUUUCCCUUGCUUGGCAUGCUCUCAUCAGCAAGGUAUGGCUUAAGGCGCUGGCCAUUCACCGUGAAGUGUUCACCAUUGACAUCCCAAAGCACUACCGCUCCAUACGGUUUCACUUCCUUUAUGCGAAAGGGUAAAAAACAUCUAGAUCUCAACUUUCCUGGAAAUAACUUGAGUCUAGAGUUGAGGAGCAGCACUUGGUCAUUUACCUUGAACUCCCUUGGUAAGAUCUUCUUAUCAUGCCAAGCCUUAGUCCUCUCCUUGUAGAUCUUUGUGUUCUCGUAGGCCUCUUGCCUUAUUUCGUCGAGGUGGUUCAAUUGGACCAACCGCCUUUCCGAAGCGGUUUUUAUGUCAUAGUUCAACAAUUUUGUAGCCCAAAAAGCUUUGUGCUCAAUCUCAACCGGCAAAUGGCAAGACUUACCAUAGACAAGAUUGAAAGGUGUGGUUCCUAUGGGUGUCUUGUAUGCCGUCCUAUAUGCCCAUAGCGCAUCGUCAAGCUUGGUGGACCAAUCCUUUCUUGUUUUCCCAACCGUCUUCUCGCUUUGAUUUAUCGGUUGGAGAUUUCCACUUGGCCACUUGUUUGAGGAUGGUAAGGAGUGGCAACCUUAUGCUUCACACCAUGUUUUCUUCAAAAGGUUCUCAAAAACUUUGUUGAUGAAGUGAGAUCCCCCAUCACUAAUAACCACUCGUGGUAUACCGAAUCUUGGGAAAAUCACUUUCUUAAACAUUUUUAGCACAACCUUGGCGUCAUUAGUGGGGCUCGCAAGAGCUUCCACCCAUUUUGAAACAUAAUCUACCGCCAUUAGGAUGUAUUGGUUUCCAUGAGAAAAUGGUUUUUUUCAUGAAAUAGAUGCCCCACACAUCAAAUACUUCUACUUCCAAGAUAAAGUGUUGUGGCAUCUCAUUCCUCUUUGUAAAGUUGCCCUUCCUUUGGCAAGCGUCGCAAGAAGAAACAAACCCAUGAGCAUCCUUGAACGUGGUUGGCCAAUAGAAUCCUGCUUGUAAAACCUUGGCCACUGUUUUAAAUGUUGCGAAAUGUCCUGCAUACUCCGAUGCAUGCAUGGCAAUGGUAGAGAAUGCCCUUCACUUCCUCUUUUGAAAUGCAUCUCCUAAAAAGACCAUCGGAGCAUCUCUUAUACAAAAAUGGCUCAUCCCAAAAAUAAUGUUGCACAUCUCGCAAGAAUUUAUUCUUCCUAUAUCCAUGGAACAUUGGAGGCUCUUGAUCACAAGCCAAGUAAUUCAAAAAAUCGGCAUACCAUGGAAGGUCAUCUUCCAUGCUUUCCAAAAUCAUAACCGCGGGAUACUCUUCCUUCAAAUAUUCGAGCACAUAGACUUUCUUUUCGGGGAGGCUAUCAUCUAUCGGUAUGUCCUCCUCGACCCGAAGUCUAGACAAGUGAUCCGCGACUCCAUUCUCAAUUCCUUUCUUGUCCUUUAUAACCAAAUAAAACUCUUGGAAAAGUAUAAUCCAUCUAAGUAGCCUCGGUUUCGCGUCCUUCUUUGCCAAUAAGUAUCUCAAAGCCGCGUGGUCCGUGUGCACUAUUACUUUGGAGCCCACCAAGUAAGACCUAAACUUCUCAAAGGCGAAAACUAUGGCGAGGAGCGUAAGCGCGGUGGUGGCAUAGUUGACUUGCGUGUCGUCCAAGGUUCUACUAGCCUCAUCUUUUCCCCCUCCCCGGAUCCAUCAUCCUCGAGGAGGAGGAAAUCUAAGUCCAAGACUCUUUUAGUAAGACUAUGGAUUGCUAAUCUGCCUACGCGGAAAAGGAAGCCUUCUCCCUCUCAAACUAAAGAGUAAAGAUAGCCCUUCCUUGCCCUAAAAUACAUGUAACAUUGGAUUUGCUAGUAUUCCUACGGGGCUUACCCGAAGAGCCAUCCUAAUCCAUCUUGCUAAUGUUCCGGUCUUCAAACAAGAAAGAGCUAGGGGGCUCGUUCGCCCUGACGCUGGUUAGACGUGAGGUCGAACAUGUCCCGCUUCGCCCUAUGGCACUAAGUAGAUGGCGCUCAACUUCCUGUCCUUCCUUUGCCCCAAAACGGCUCCAACCGCGUAGUCACUUGCAUCGCACAUGACCUCAAAUGGUAAAUUCCAGUUGGACUAUGGGCGCGGUCACUAGAGCCUCUUUAAGCAUCAAGAAUGCCUCAAGGCAUUUCUCAUCAAACAUAAAAGCCACAUCUUUGCAUAAGAGUUGUGUGAGUGGCCUAGCAAUCUUCGAGAAAUCCUUGAGAAAUCUCCUAUAGAACCCUAAUGUCCUAAGAAGCUUCGAAUACCCUUUACCGAGUUUGGUGGUUGCAAACUUGUCAUCACCUCAAUCUUCGCUUGGUCAACGAAUUUUUUACUUGUUUUGAACAGUAUUCUAAAGACACGUCUUACGAAAAGCAGAUUUCAUUUUUUGAGGAAAUUAUUAAGUGGGAUUCUGAAACGUAUAAUUACAGCUUGCACUUUUAACGAGGAACUCUCGCAAUUAGCUCUACUUUCUUUCUUUCUGGUUUUGGUGUUCCGAUAUCUUUCGUAGGAUGAGUUCGAUCCAUUAGGUUCUUCAAUUUGUUCAGAAAAGAAACAAGAAACAAGAAAACAUCUUUGAUUACGAUUAAAAGGAACAAUCUCAAAUAGACCAAGAUCAAAUUUCGGGUCAUUUCUUGGUGAACAUGAUCUGCCAUAAUCUCUUCGAUUCCUUCAUUUAUGUGCCAGAAUAAAGAGAGAUUUGGUAGAAAGUGGAAGAGACUUUAUUGUAUAUGAUAAUCAAAGGGAGUGGGAAAGCUGCAGUAAUUCUUUGGAAAAGCCCGGUUCUCUUUGUCUUCGAGCUUUCAUUUUUUAAUCCACUCUUUCGUUCCUUCAUAUACCUCCCCACCAAUAGAUAGAGACAAAUAGGAAUAACCAAACCACGUCUACAAAAUGCCAGUACCAUGCAGCUGCUUCAAAGCCAACGUGAUGCUCCUUCGUCAGAUGACCAAGAUAUUGCCGAAUACCACAUAUAAUCAAGAAAAGAGUACCUAUAAUAACAUGAAAACCAUGAAAGCCUGUUGCUAAGAAAAAGGUAGAACCAUAAAUACUAUCCGAAAUAGUAAAGGGUGCUUGAUAAUAUUCCAUUCCUUGAAAGCCAGUAAAUACUAGAGCCAAUAAAACGGUAGCUACUAAAGCAUAAACUGCUCGUUUUUCCUUCCCCGCGAGUAUAGCAUGAUGAGCCCAAGUUACGGCAGCUCCGGAUGAAGGGAGAAUAGGGGUAUUAAGAAAAGGGAUUUCCCAAGGAUCUAAAACCCCAAUCCCUUUUGGGGGCCAAAUACCUCCGAUCUCUACCGCAGGUGCCAAAGAAGAAUGAGAAGAAGCCCAAAAAAAAGCAAAAAAGAACAUAACCUCCGAUACGAUGAACAGAAUAGAACCAUAUCGAGGUCCUAAUUGUACGACUUUGGUAUGAUGUCCUUCCAACGUGGAUUCACGUAGAACAUCGCGCCACCAUACGAACAUGGUAUAUAGGAGAAAUAUGAGGCCCAAACUUAGAAGUCUUGCACCCCCUUGAAAUGGGUGCAUGUACAUCACACCUCCUACGGUGGUUGCCAAAGCUCCGAGUGAACCCGAAAUAGGCCAUGGACUUGGAUCUACCAAAUGAUAAGAAUGCCUCUGAGAUUCAAUCAUAAACCACUUUGUCUCGGUUAUAUGUAAACCCCCACCCUUCACCCCCACCGGGCUCUUUCUCUUUGGGGUCUAAUUUUCUUUCUAUCUGACAGGACAAACUAAUAGGAAGGGAUGGUUCUUUAAUUGCAUUGAUAGAAGUCUAACUAGAAAAGGAUCUCUCUAUUACUUUGAGAAGAGAAUCGUUGGUUUGACCGACGGAAAGCAUGGGAGAAAGAAAGAUGCACAAACAGACUGAAAUCUAUGAAAAGAAAGAAGAGAACGAAAGAACGGAUUUAGUUCUGGGGGGGUUGGUGCUCGUGUGCAUGGAUGAGCACACGGAGACACCAAUUAAGGAACGCACGGCGUGCGCUUUCCUCCUCUACCCUUGCUAACUCCGUAUUAAACCUUCCCCUCCACUCGGCGAUUUGCCGAUCCCGAAUGGAAUCAGCUCUUCGACCGAGAUGGAUUUGGCGUUGGAGUGAUCUAAUUUCCUGAUCCAGGCGCGCCGUUAAUUCCCGACGUCGGCCUGGAUCCCCCUCGUUCUGGAGGGCCCGUUCCGUCCCCUCGACCCGUUCCCAAGACUCCGCCAAUUGGAGAUUCCGUGCUCGUAAAGAGUCGGAACUCUCAAUUUCGUUGUACAACGACGAUACGGAGGGAUUGAGAGCAAUCUCGUUACCCUCCGUAUCGGCGGCAGGCAGGUCCACAUGUGGAACGACAAAUAAAGUGGGGGUUUCCAGAAGCCCAAGAAGACAGAACGAGAGUCUCAAUAAUAAGAGAACUCGCCCUAACUUCGGGGCUAUGAAAACAAGAAAGUAAUAGAACCCCCCCAACAGUGCUGGGGGAUUCGCGAAAACUCUUACCCAUAUCUUACCAUUUCUUCGGAAUUGUCCGCUCAUAGCACGAUGUAAGUGUCCGAUUAUAGCCCGACGCGCUGCUUCAAUGGCUCGAUAUGAAAGACGACCAGCUUUACAACUUUUAGUGCCAUAUCUUCCAAAACCCAGUUUUGUACCAUCCGGUUUGCAACCCCUACUACAUCUGCCUUUACGAUAUUUACUAUAUUUCGUACGUUUCGGAUAUAGCACGUCCCCCUUUUUUUUUACUAUAUGAAAUCCAUACUUUGACACCUGAGAUUCCGUAACGAGUAGAUACUUCCGCAGGAGCAUAAUCGAUUUUCUGGUUAAAUACAUUACGAGAAGUUUUUCUAUGCUUAUAGCAUUUAUACUUUCGCGGUCGCCCUCACUGAACCGACUUGAAUCUGAACUACGAUUUUUUCCCCAACUUGCUUUAUUAACGGGCAUUUUCGGGGACUAGCCCGCUUCUUCAUUACUCAAGAGGGCGAUUGCCCGGUCCUCUUUCAUGUGGAAUCAUUUUAGAUCGUAUCCCCACAAGCCUGCCUCCACUUUCUUAUGUGAAAGAGUUAUUCUAUGAAAGAAAAUCUCGUUUUUUCACAUAUACAAGCUAAAACUACAACAAGUGGGAGAGGCAGGAUUCGAACCUACGUAGAAAAACUUCAACAGAUUUACAGUCUGCCGCUUUUGACCACUCGGCCACUCUCCCCUUCCCGGGCCGAGGCCCCCUCAAUGGGUUCUAAGAAGGAGGUUUUUUCCCUGAAUCAAUAAAAAAAGAAACUUAUUGAUUUGAUUGAAGGGAACUAAUACUAUUUCUUAGCUUAGCUAGCGUUCCGGGAGAAUCUAGUCAUUUAGUCAAUUCAUAACAAUCUCUGUAAAGCAAGGGACAAAGCUUCUACGACAGCUUCCCCCUCAUGUAGUCGUCGGCCUUCCCCAGCCCCCCUUCGUCGCUUCCGGCGAAGCUGCGAGCCCUACCCUUCUCGAGCCUACUUAAAUAGCUUACGCUUACCAAGCCUAGUCUACUAAAAGAGGGCUACAGUAAGCAAGCUUUCCCCCUUUGUUUUUGUUGUGGGUCGCGCCUCACCGCAGGCACUGAAUGAAUGAAAUGAGUGGUCUGCAAGCCUUCCCCCUUUAAAAUUACCAAAAACUUCGUUGCCGCUAGUGGCGAAUAAAAUUUCAACCAUCCCACCCGAAAACCACUCGGAGCCUAAAGAGAGUUCAGUCUACAAGAAGCUGGCAGAGCUUUAGCCAUUGGACUACAUCGCACUAUCCUACCUAAACCCUUUUCUUGUUUGUUCGGAUUCUGUUCUUUUUCGAAUGAGGCUAGUGGAGACAAAUUCCUUCCGACUAAUGAAGAGAUACUACUCCAGUCUUCCCAUUCAUUCCCAGUUGAUCCUUCUUCUUCCUAAGAAUUUAACGAACCAAGUUCACCUAUACGAGAGUGAGGAAUCAAAACCAACAAUCAACUUUCCACUUUUGACACGAUUCAGCUAGUUUAGAAACAAAGGAGAAGGACAGGGGCCGUUAGGUCAUAAAAGCGAUAACUAACAAAUCUCCCCAAGUAGGAUUCGAACCUACGACCAAUCAGUUAACAGCCGACCGCUCUACCACUGAGCUACUGAGGAACAACGGGAGAUUAGAUCUCAUAGAGUUCAAUUCCCGUUCUCAACCCAUGACCAAUAUGAACUCGAAGUUUCCUUCGUAACCCCCGGAACUUCUUCGUAGUGGCUCCGUUCCAUGCCUAAUUUCAUAGGGAACCUCAAAGCGGCUCUAUUUCAUUAUAUUCCAUCCAUAUCCCAAUUCCAUUCAUUUAAUAUCCCUUUGGUGUCAUUGACAUAAGAGAUGUCGUUUCUAGUCUAUCUCUUUCUAUUUCUAUAUAUGGAAAGUUGCAAAAUCAUCAUAUAAUAAUCCAGAAAUUGAAAUAGAAAAGAAAAAAGGGAGGUUUGUGAUGGUUUUUCAAUCUUUUAUACUAGGUAAUCUAGUAUCCUUAUGCAUGAAGAUAAUCAAUUCGGUCGUUGUGGUCGGACUCUAUUAUGGAUUUCUGACCACAUUCUCCAUAGGGCCCUCUUAUCUCUUCCUUCUCCGAGCUCGGGUUAUGGACGAAGGAGAAGAAGGAACCGAGAAGAAAGUAUCAGCAACAACUGGUUUUAUUGCGGGACAGCUCAUGAUGUUCAUAUCGAUCUAUUAUGCGCCUCUGCAUUUAGCAUUGGGUAGACCUCAUACAAUAACUGUCCUAGCUCUACCGUAUCUUUUGUUUCAUUUCUUCUGGAACAAUCACAAACACUUUUUUGAUUAUGGAUCUACUACCAGAAAUGAAAUGCGUAAUCUUCGCAUUCAAUGUGUAUUCCCGAAUAAUCUAAUUUUUAAAUUAUUCAACCAUUUCAUUUUACCAAGUUCAAUGUUAGCCAGAUUAGUCAACAUUUAUAUGUUUCGAUGCAACAACAAGAUGUUAUUUGUAACAAGUAGUUUUGUUGUUUGUGUCCGUAUGUUACUAGUUGAGUGGGCUUUCCCUUUGUUCCAGUUAUUUCUGGUCAUGAAGGUGUAGGCCAAGGACGGAGUCGAACCGUCAUUACAGGAUUUGCAGUCCGAUACAUUUCCAUUAUGUUACCUAGCCAAACCCGCCACCUCAUGUGCCAAAGUCAAACGGUUGUUCUUUCUUCCCUCUUUUUUAUACAUAUGCUGGGGCGGGCGGAGCGCUCUAUAUGACCGGCGGCGGGUUACCAGAGAGGAGGGGACAACUUCUUUCUCCCUUGCCUUGCUCAAUUUUCGUUUUAUGAUUGAAAGUAGCAAGCAACUCUACUACUAGUACAGAGGCCAGAUAGAAGGUUGCUCAUCCAGCCCAGCGGAUCUAUUGUUUAUGCAGCAGUGCGAUGCGGCUGAAAAACAUAAGCCCCAUUUUCUUAGUAAGAUGAGUAAGGUAUAGGUUUGGGAAAACUCCAAAACAAAGGUUCCAAAAAAAAGACAUUAAUCAAGGUGACAGGAUUCGAACCUAUGGCCCUCUGUACCCAAAACAGAUGCGCUGACCAGACUGCGCUACACCUCGCGUCUCACUGUAAUUGCUUUUUUUUUUCAUCUGCCUCCUGCACUAUACGGCUUUUUGCCUUCUUCCUUCUUUCACUUGAAUUUUAAAAAUCCGGCUCGCUCUCGGCUACGUGUCCAAAGGACCAAAGGGCCAUUCUUCAUAUACCUCAGCUCCGAGAAUAGAAGUGGUUGUGGAUUCGAACCACUGACACAAGGAUUUACAGUCCUUUGCUCUAACCAUCUGAGCUACCUGUGAACCACUUUGUUCUCAACUUAUCCAACGAAUCUCUUUCUCUUAUUCAAUUCCACUUUGUUUAGUUUAGUGAUAGUUAGAGGUUAGAGAGCUAGAUCACUCCUCUAAGCAGCCUUCUGAUUAUAUACGUAUUAUUCUAUCUAUCUGUCCCUACCUUAUACUAUCCUUCCUAUCUGCCAUUACUUGUAUUCUAUCGAUAGGAAUGGUUAGUUAGUGUGCAUAGCUGCCUUGUUUCUGUGUAUGCACAGCAGUUGUUUCUGUGUGAAGCAUGUAUGGAGGUAGUGAAGAACGGCCUGCGAACUACCGUAGCUAAGCGGCACUAGUUCCUGUUGCUUGCAGCUUCAGUAGAAUUCAUAUCCCUUGUUGGUAUGUGAGUAAGUUGUUGCAUGAAUGGUCAGGUAGGUAAGCGUAGCAGUAUUCCUGUUCAUGCAUGUAUCCCUGCAGGUUGUCUUCCCUAUCGAAUGAGGGAAGUGAGCUGGUUAAUCGCAGCUUACUUCUGGAGUGGUCCCUAGGCGGGUGUAGCUAUUGUUGCUUGUAGCUGCUGUUAAGUAUCUAUCUUUGUUUGCCGAUCACUGAUGUAAUGGCUGUUCCGUGCUGUGCAGCGCGUUCCGAGGUCUGCUUUCCUUUCUUUGUCAUUUGACUAUCUCUCUCCGUUCGAUGGGAACAGUUGUUUCACGACUAAGUAAGAAAGGUUAGCGAAGCCGGGUUCCUAUGUAUGCAUGAUAUUUGUUCCGAGGUGGUUGUUUUCUCUUCUUUUGGAAAUUGCCCGGGGUUUAAAUAGGGCAAGAACAUCAGGAAGGUCUUUUCGUUCGGAUACAGACAUGGCAAUCUACGUAUAUGAAGUCUCGAUUAAGCUGCCUAAGCAUAGAUCCAACGCGCUACUCAAGUAGGCGGGAAAGAAAUGCCCUUCUAGCAUUGCCACUUGCUUCAAGCUGCUCUUUCUAUAAGCUAUAUUCCAGUAGUGAUUCGAGAAGGAAUUCAUGAGUGACUGACCAUCCAGCCUUUCCUUCGUAUGAGACCGGACAUGCCAGCGAAUCGAAUAGCGUAGGAAGUCAACAAGUCUUAAUGGUGGAAAGCUAGAAAGGGAAAAAGCAUUAGUUUCAGGUUGUUUACAUACUCGACUAAAAGGAGGAACCCCUCGGGCGAAUAAAGUAUGUAACUGGCUUAAGAACAAGAAAGCAAGAAAAAGGUAUGAAGUUCUAAUUGUACAAUGCUAUUACUUCAUCCGCUGUGAAUAGGCUGAAGGAAUUGGAUCUUGUCUCUUUGAAUCUGCUUUUAAGGCAGGAAGUCAGAACUAGAAACUUUCUCUUUAGAUAUCCCCAUACGUUCCCUUGUGUGAAAGAGCUGUAGAAUAAGUCCUAGCUAUCUGAUAAUAGCAGUCUUGUUGCUAUGGGCUUAGCACUAGUCUGCAAUACUCAAUUCAUACCAGUAGUACGGUUGCUAACUUGUCUUUCAAAGUUGCCCUGGUGUAUAUCCCGGAGUACUUCGAGGAACGCCAGUAGGCCUAUUAGUGUAUAGAUCCUUCCCGGGUUGUUUGCUGUGUUUCACUGUUUCUUCCUUGGGAACUGUUUGUUUUUUCUCUUCUGUUAUAGUAAGAGUUCUCACUCCUUCACCUCAUCGGUCAAGUGGAAGAGUCACGUCAGUCCCGAGGAACGCCUUUCCGCUCAUGGUCUUCCUACUCCGAUCUCGCUUCGGGCACUAUAAGGGCUAGCUGGCUUGUUGCUAGAGCACAGUUAAGAGUCACUCCUCUCCUGGUUCUACGUAGCUUGAUGAGAUAGAUUGCUGGCGUAGCUGUGAUUCCUAAGUAAACAAGUUGUAGGGAAGGAGUGCCUUCCGGGUUGUGCGUAUGCAUCUACUGAGGUAAGGCACGAUUGAGCGGCUAGCUGCUCUGUCAUUACUAGAGAGUCUUUCUUAGUAUGAGCCGUGAUAGGGAAGAUGUGUGCUCGAAGUCUCCUUAGGUCUUGAUCUAGUUGUGACUUCUUUUUUCCAGCGAGUUACCCGUCGUUGUAGUUGUUGCUGUUCCGGGCGGUGCUUCCUGUCUGUAAGAUCCCUUUCUUGUCUCGUCCGGGAAGGAUGUAUGAAGUAUUGGUCCGUAGCUGCCUUGCUUUUCUUGUUUCCUUUGCUUUCGAGUAGGUGCAGCUGAGGCAGGUACCAAGAGUCAAGAGAGAACUUCUUUGUUUUGUUUGAAUAAUAGUAUAGAUUUAUACCUUCUCUACGGAAUACCUGUUGCAUCCUGUCUCUCCUGCCAAGCGAAUGGAUUUGUCAUGCAUUUGUUGCUAACUGCCGACACAAGCUGGCUUGUUAGGAAAAAAACCCUUUUCUUCUUCUUAUGAAUGUUGCUUACUCUGUCCACUGCGAUACAACUGUUGUAAGCUCUGUUUUACAGCUUGUAAUGGGAUUUCUGCUCUCUUUUCAAUAUAUCCCCUCUCUUUUUCCUAGGAAAGCCUCUGUUGAAUCUAUCUCUCUCCGUUCGGAAUGGGAACUCCAAGCUGUUUAGCUUUCAUUCUUCCUUCCGGUACCUUUUCACAGUGCAACUGAGCAAAUUAGUCAAACUUUGUACUCGGAAUGCUACUUUCCUUAGUUUUGUUUCAAAUAUCUGCCGUUUCAUCUGCUUCAGGAAAGGCAGUUGACUUGGUCGAAUCCCGAUUACGAUCAAAAGGAAAAUCUUGACUUGCAGUGGAAUAACGGCUUUGCGGAGGAAGAUCAUCAAAGGCUGUUGCUGGGAGAGGUCCAUUAGUCCGGGUCGAUUGCUUCCAUCCUCAAUUGCUUCUUUUGAAGGUUACAUGCCUGCUGUUGAAAGCCUGGGACGAGACAGAGUUAGUAGGCGCCUCCGGCCCUGCGGUUGAAGGUGAUAUACCAACAACAUGAGCUAGCAUGGUUUCGAGUGCGAUAACAUGGGAUAUGGAUAUGUUUUCUUCGAUGCCUAGGCAGGCUGGGAUUGGAACUGCUCGUGAUUAGACCUUCUAUAUGACUGAACUUCCCCGCAACAAGAUAGAAAGAAGAGUAUAAUUCGGAGAAAGAUGAAGAUCGUCCAAUAGUGAUCUACGGAUAGCUACCGACGUGAGAGGCCUAGAGUGAAGCUCUGGCAGAGUGGCUCCCUUGUUAAGUGUAGGGCCCCUUGGCUUUGGACAACUCACCAAGCCAUAGAGACUAAAGAAAGAGCUAAAUCAGUCCUUGCUGCAACUGAAGGAACGAAAGAAAUCUACUUCCGAACUGAGCGCUAAAGGUACAUACGGAGAGACCUAUGAUUUCCAUUCUGUUUAGGCUAUGAAAACCUCCCCGGAUGAAGGAAUGUAAUACAUUGAAGACUUCGAACUGCUUACGUAAUGGAAAAAGGGGCUAGAUGGCUUACGGGGUAUAGGGUUUUGAGGAGGAAAAUGACUCACUUUUUGACAGAAUCAAGGUCCUAUCAUUUUCUUCUUUUCUGAGUGAAAUCAAAGCUAGACCAUAAAGGGAAGAAGGUUGGUUACCUGCUAUACUAAGAGUAAGCGAGCUAACGAGGCCUAAUCCUGGGUUCACGGCAUUCCAUUCCUACCAAUUCCAUUUCGAGGGGUAGCAGUAGAUUAGAUCCUGUUGAUUCAAAACCUUGUUCGAACUCUCUUUGGCAUCUCACAAAUGUUUCAAAAUAUAUAGUACAGAUUGGAUCCUGAUCAAGCUCAAGCUAAAACUUACCUACAAGAGAAUCCAUACUGAAUCUAUUAUCAUAGAUCUUGCUUUCGUCGGAUACGUCUCUUUCUCCCCAAUUUGGAUGGAUCCUCUCAUUCUAAUUCAUCGCUACUAACUAGAAGAAGUUCCUAAAAAUCGAAAGCUCCCCUCUUUUUCUCCAUCCAUAACCACCAGUUGUAGCGGAGGAAGUAGCAGUCAGUGGCUUCUCCCGGGGCCCUUACCCUUGCUCUUUUCUUUCUCGGGCGCAGUAAAAAGAUAUACGAGGUUAUAGAGAAAUAGACAAAGAAGUUCAGCUGCAAGAGUGGAUCCUAUCCCGCCGUAUUUACCAGCGGGAUUCAUCCGUCUAAGGCAUUCCUCGGAGGAACUCGUCCAAGCACAUGAUGUCUCCUUUAUCUGUUUUCAGCCAGCCUAAGCGCCCUACUUUACCUACUUGAAAUGUAAAUUUUCCUUUCAUCAAAGCCUUCGUGUUCAUCGAAUACUCGCUUCACUAUGUGUAGCUCGCUCCCCUCUCUUGAAAGCCGAACUGGCGCCUUCUUUUGAUAACUGGGUUAGGGUUACCGAAGGCAAUCUGGCAGGAAAAGUUUCCCCUUUUAUUCGGCAGCCACCUUUGAUGUAACUAAACUAGAUAGAGUUUGGGUCACGAAUUCGGAUUUACCGAUCCGAGGGAACCAAAUGAAGCAUCUUUUUCUCCUUCCGAAAGAAAAGAGGAAGACUUAUUCCCACCGAAGUGCACUAAUAGAAAACCCCUACCAGUCGAAGUGGAAUGAUGAGCUAAAAGUCCCUUGUACGAUGAAGCUGAGUCACAGAAGCGGGAGAGGUGUCUUCUUUGAAGAUCGUUUCCUAUCGAGUGGAUAAAAUCCCAAGCCUUAAGAGCCCAUUAACCCAUCUUCUGUUCCGCUAGCCAGCUAAGCUAAAGCUUGCCAUCGACCGGUUCGUUCGGAAGUAACCGCAUGCGCUCACCUAUCCAUCAACCAAGACAGAAGGGAAUGACCAACCAAGCGAGCAGAGCCCAACUACCAAUCCUAUGUUCUCCCAAUUCUGGAACUGGUGGCAAUCUAACGAAUUCGGGAAAGCAAGAUGAUCGACACUGGAAAAGACGUCUUGGCGAGAGGUGCUUUAGCAACUCGACUGAAAAGGAGAGGGCGAAGUCAUGACUCAAGCACUUGUCUAGAGAGGAGAGGGAGCUUACAGCAUUCUCAGGCGCGGAUGCCCUAGACGAGAGAGUUAUUGAGAGAGAAAAGUUAGGUAGGUCGUCAGUAAGUUAGCGAGAUAGAGCGAGACUGUUUGUUAGGUAGCUUAGCGAGAUAGGGAGCAGCUAUGGAACAAGGGGUCUGUUAAAACAGAACUAAUUACCCUUUUUUUUGUUUGUUCAAGGGGUUCCUCGGAAGAGCUCGCAGUGAAUGCCCAGUGCAAUCCAAUAAAACAACCUAACAGAACCGCUCCGCCCCUCCAUGUACAGAAAAGUAAACCCAAAGAAGUUGUUCUGGACGAGAGAGUGAGAUUAGACUGCUUAAACCGUAGAUAGGCGUUCCUCUCCCUUUUAGUCGACUAACUGGCGUUCCUCGGGAAGUACACCUUAGGUUUACAAACCUAACACAGAAUAACGAGACGAAGUCGACUUUAGAACCUAUUGAUUAGAGCUUGGCUGCUCAAGAGCUACAAAUGCGAGGGGAUAGCUGCAAUAAACCCCAUGUAAGCACAGGGAGAAGCCGGCUAAAGCCUACAUACCUGUUCCCUUAAUGCAACCUAUUCCCAACGGAGGAGAAGAGGAAUACUAAUGAAAUGACAGAAGCUACAGCGCGGACUUCGUGCUUGCAGGAACAGCAGCACUACUAUGCAAUUAAUUAGCUGCCCCAUUCAUGCGCCCUCUAAACAACGAAAGCUACAACAUCAACGAAGGGAAUGGGUUCCUCCGGCAUCUAGGUAGAACCUUCCAGAAAAACGGGGAGUAGACCCAAGGAGCGAAGCUACAGCCAAGGAAGAAAUCCCGGGCAGGGACAUGAACAAGAUAGAUAUUCUACGCAGCCAAGCCCCUACUUUAGCUGCACUUGGUGGUUCCCCGCUUGGCUGUACCACGAACAAAGGGAUCACAACAGCAACAGUAAGCACUCUCCUACCUAUAACAUGCAAUCACAGGAAUCAGACUAGAAGCUACCACCUGGCUACUCAUGCAACUUAGUCCCAUCGAACCAAGAGAGAAGGGAUUCAUUAAAGGAGUUCUUCCAAAGGCGCACAUACCUUCGACGUUCACUCGGGCAACCGACCGUCUUCGACCGCUCCAUCCCGCUCUUAAGGCUUGUUACAACGCGGAAGCCUUAUUUGAUUAUAUAGAAGAUUUUUUUCCCCAACUUGCUUUAUUAACGGGCAUUUUCGGGGACUAGCCCGCUUCUUCAUUACUCAAGAGGGCGAUUGCCCGGUCCUCUUUCAUGUGGAAUCAUUUUAGAUCGUAUCCCCACAAGCCUGCCUCCACUUUCUUAUGUGAAAGAGGUGCUUGCUUUAUGAGACUGAAUGGAAACCUUCUUUCUUCGAUCAGAAUACGAAUAAGAUCAAAAAGGCCAUCAUUGGGGCAAACAAUGCAAUAGCUUCGGUUAGAGCAAAGCCCAAAAUGGCAUAACCAAAUGAUUGUUUAGCCAAUGAUGGAUUUCGCGCCACAGAAUGGAUCAAAGAACUGAAGACGUUUCCAAUACCGAUAGCAGCUCCCGCUGAAGCAAUUGUAGCAGCUCCGGCACCUAUUGAUUUUGCACCUUCUAACAUCUCGGGUUGAGAAUUCUACUCACGCUUUGUCAUUCACUUAUCUUAUAUCUUAUUGAUUCCUCGUCGAUUCUUACCCUCGUUCCUUUGAUCUUGGACAUCUCACUUGGAAUGCAUUCUUUGCGAUCUUGUACCCACGGAGUGGUAUACUGAAGACCAACAACAUCUCGACAAAGAUAAGUACAAGCAAGUAGAUCAUUCGACGUCAGAGGGAAUGACUCGUAGCUAGGGUCCCAUCUCUCUUCGAUUAUUCAAUUUGAUCCGUCUUCGUCUUCUCUUAUGAAAUUGAUAGUUUGUGAGAUCGAUUACUCAUAAAUGCUGCCCUUCUCUUAUAUACGAGAGCACCAGAUACACCAUGGAUGGAUACAUACGAUUUCACUUAUCCCAAAAGUGAAGAUCUUAUUCGUAUUCUGAUCGAGGAAAGAAGGCGAGCUAGUUCAACUCAAUGACAACCUCUAGGGCCAAGCCUAUGGAAAGCUUUUCCAAUCUCCUUCCGCAUUCUUUCCUUUAAUAUGCUUGUAUCACAUACCAAUAAGACAUAGGAGGAUCCGAUAGAUUUCAAUCACAUACCAAUAAGACAUAGGAGUUCGUUCCGAACAGAUAAGAUGGUAGUUGGCUAUCAAUCUUCUUUAGCACGAGUAGAUCCCUAUUCUUCUAUAGUUGGUGAGAACUAUGACUUGAACCUGCUCCUUACUUCAAUCUUCUUUUCAAUUCAGAUAUGGAUGGUAAAGUCCAUUCAGAUAUAGAUGGUAAAGGAAGAUCAAGUUACUCGGCUAGACCAUUAUCCAAAGAAUGGAAAGCUAAAGCAAGUCAAAGAAUCAGUCCCAUAAUUGAAUGGCAUCGUCCUUUCUUUCCCCCAUGAAUUGCUUUCUCUCGUACUCAUGCGAUCCCGUCCGACCCCUUCCUACUUGAACUCCUGGUUUUGAUGCUGUGACUUCCCCCAUGAAUUGCUUUUUCUUCUUUUCUUGCUUUCCUGCGUUGCGUACAACUCCUUCUCUUAUUAGAGGGCUCUCACGGCUCCUAUGGUUGAGGAGCGUUGGGCCCAUUCUAAGUUGGAGCGACUCUCCGGAAGAAUUCCUUUGAAGAAAGAUCCAAGCACUCAACUUGAUUGGAGAAGUUAGCGAAAGAGUCUCGAGAGCAAGGCGUUGAGCGGAUCGACUUUUGCUUUCCCCUAAUAAUCUGAAGGGAACGGGUGAGAAUGAAGUUCAGGCUAACCACAGCUCCUUUCGUUUCAGUGGGGGUUGCAGUCUAAUGAGAAAUGAGGGUUGAUCAUCGAUCUGUAGCGAAUCUUUUCUGCCAAUUGACUUUCUUGUCCUUCGCCCUCUAAGCCAUUGGUUAAGUUGGUGAGUCUAAGUCUAAAGAGUAGGGGCGUAGCGAAUUGACUAUUGUGAUCUCUUUAGCUUGAAAUAGGCGCUGGAGUCUGUCUGAGUAUGUAAAAGAUGUGGUGGAUAGGAUAAGAAAGAAACCUUCUACAUCAGCUAAUUCUUCUUCCACGAGGGACUCAAAUAAAGGAGGAUCGGUUUCUUUCCCGUUCAUCGUAUCCAUAGGAUUGGGGGUCUCUUCCUGUCCUGAAGAAGCAGCUCUUUGCCUUUCUGCUUCAAAGAAAGAGGGGGAAUGAGCAGAUCAAGCCUUUCCCUUCAUGCACUAGAUGGAUCACUUACAAUGACCAAUACUCCUCGUGAGAAUCUAAGGCGCUUAAGGAAGCAUCUCGAAUCGGGCGUGAAAAAGAUCCAUCUUUGAUUUAUUUCACACAAUUUCGCAAUGUCAACUUGCUCGAUGUAGGCUUGCUCCCAUAUUCUCCACGGUUUAAGGCAAGAUUGGUGGGAAAGGGAUAUUCUCGCAUCGAUUACAAUGAAAUAUUCUCUGUAGCCGACAUAUGUUCCAGUUCGCCAAUAGUAUCCAUCGUUCACAGCUUCUGCCCCUUUUUUGGGGGGCACCCAGCAGUUUACUGUUAAGGACACUAUCGAUUUACUGUGAUAUGUCUACAGUCAAAAGCUAGUACUUUAUGGGUAGCAUCUUUAGGGACUCAGAGAUCAGGAAAACUUGAUAGAAAGCCCUAGCUCUAACUUGAUAGAAUGCCCCAGCAAUGGCCAUCGGAGAGGUCCAACGUAAUUUAUUACUCUUAUAAAAGAGGGAACUCGACUGAAAGGAGAGGAGAGAAAUUCCAUUUACAGGCUUUCUACCAAUGACCGGAGACCAGAAAGGGGAAUAGAGAGAUAAGCCUUGAGCGGUCAGACCAAUUACGAUCGAUUCGCUAAACAUUCAAGAUUCUCGAGAUGAACUGCUAAAAGAAGGAAGGGCGAUAGAGAGAGGUUUUUCACUUUCAACUAAGCUAAGGAGAUUCGGGAUGGGAACCCGCACUCUUUUGACUGAGAGGCGUAGGAGAGAGGGAGUUCCCCGUAAUCCGAAAUAUGAUUUAGUACAGAGGCCGGCCGACCCCAAAGUCCUCCAAGUACUCACUCCUUUCAACGUCCCAAGGGGCAUUAAAGACAUAGAGAUCUUGGAACCAAGGUCCUCCUAUGGAAGGAAUAAGACCUUGAAACAAGACCCCCAAAAAAGGGUCUUUAUGGGACCUUUGUCAAGGUCGUUCGCUCUGGGCUUUGGGUUCAACGGGUCGCUUUGAAAAUAAAUAGUCUCAUCACAUCUAAGGUGCAAAGAUUGACCUCGAUGCAUGUCAAAUUUUGAAUGCCUCAUGACCUAUGGUUCGGUCGUGGAAAACCACCAAAGGGUGGUUGGUUGAGAUCUUAAGGAAGAAAUACCGACCCAAAGAUCUGGCAUGUGUCCUUGAGUCCUCUUCUGCCACGUGUCGCAGGGCAGCAAACCUAUAAAAAGGGACCGUAUCCGAGAAAGUACUCCUGCUGCUAGCACUGAGUGUCUUCUUUCCACUAGGCUGAAAUACGGCUGAUUUCUCACCCGUGCGCACGCAUCUCGCUUCUGGCUCCCUGACCGAUACGACCUUUCUGGGUUUGUUAACAUCCUUCCUUCUCCUUUUGGGUAUUUGCUAUCUUGUGGUCCCUGAUUCUUAGGCUGACCACGUGGUCCUCUUGCGACGUCUGUUGGGAGGUAGCAUCCAAGGUCCGAAAGGCCUUUGUUCCGACCCGACUUGCGGAUCCGGGUUUGGGAGAACCUCCUUCGCCGCCGGUGAGUUUUCUACAUCAGUCUGGUUUUGCUUCGGACAAAGCUCUAUCUCGGUGGCCAUAUUCCCCACACUCAAAAACAUAUAAGAUGCAAGCCUUCGUAUUCGACCCUCUGGNNNNNNNNNNNNNNNNNNNNNNNNNNNNNNNNNNNNNNNNNNNNNNNNNNNNNNNNNNNNNNNNNNNNNNNNNNNNNNNNNNNNNNNNNNNNNNNNNNNNCCAUGAGUCGGGGAAUUGUCAAGUCUUGAGACCGUCCCAAUCCUUGACAAUUCCAACUCAUUAGGCUCAUUAAUGGUCAGACAGUCCCUCAAACGGGACCAUCUCAUUUUUGGAUAGUUUUGCUAUCUUAACUGAACCCGCAGGAGUAUCUGAUUCUAAAUUCUUCCUUUUAAGAUUGAUACCUUCCUCUAAACCUUUAUCUAUAAUAGAGGGAAUUACAGAUAAAGAAAGAGAGGUACCUUUCAGAUUGCUUCUAGACUUGUAUGGCUUUUUCCGAACAUAGGCCCUUUUUGUAAAAGGUUUAGAUGUUCCAGCUUCAGAGAAUGAAGGUGCAGAAGUGAAGCUUCCCUUGUUACCAAAACAAUCUUUCAUGAUUGCAGCCGAUCCAUCAGUUAUGAAAUCAGGGGAGGAAAGAAUACUCAAAGUUUGUCUAGAAAAAGGUUCUUUGGAAGAAUCUGAAGUUGCCUUUUUAUUCUCAGGUUCCAGAACAAUUGCUUUUCCUUUAGAUCGAUCACUACCUUCAGUGGAGACUGGAUUUAGAGUUAUGGUAUGAUCCAUCUGAACUAUGUCUUCAGAACUUUUGCUUUGAAUCUGAGAAGAGAAUCUAUUCAAUUCUGAAGAACCAACAAAGAACUGUCGCAACUCUUCUAGGACCAUCGGAUCUAUCCUAAUCCGACCAGCACAGUUUGGAGAAUUCAAGGAAGAAGAAUCCAAUAUUGUCUCUGCAACAUGUUGAGAAGGUUCACUUCCUUUCAAGGCUAGCUGUUGUUGAUUGAACAGAGGACAAUUAGGACGCUCAUGAGUAAGACGUUGACAGAAGUAGCAUCUUUUUUGGAUUCUCUCGUAAUCAUAGAGAAUAGUAGUAGCUUCUCCAGAAGGUAGAUUGACGACUUUAGAUCGGCGGAGAGGCUUCGAAACAUCAAAGCUGAUUCUAACCCGGACGUAAUCUUUGUUCUGAGCUUUGGUUUGAUCCAAAUCCAAUUCAAUAACCUUACCUGCAAACCCAGCAAGAGUACGAAUAGCAUCCGGUGUGUAAUGAUUGACAGGUAUGUUGCGAAGUUGAACCCAAAUCGGAAUGAACUGAAGAUAAUCCUCCGGAGGACUUUCCAUCCAUCUAUCCAACGCAAAAGACCAUUGAUUGUAUGUAUGAGCUCCUUUGUUAAGAAUAUCCUCCAAAUCAUGUUCAUAUUUGAAGAUGAAUUGAAACCUUUCCGGAGAUAGAGCCACACCACGAACACGAUCAUAUAUUUGCCACUUCCUUGGCAUAUCGAGUACCAAAUUAGACACCUUCUGACAGUCCGGAUUGAGAAUUCUUCCUAUUAAACUCAUGGAAUUCAUCUCUUUUGAGCAAAAUUCAGGCAGAUCCGGAAGAUUAAAUGGCUCAUCCUUCUCUUCUAAGGUCAUCGCCAUUAGAAUCUUGUCAAGGGAAGAAGACAUAACUAGAGAAACCCAAAGAGAGAACUGAAAUUCAAAGCAGAAUCGAAAAAUGAAAGCUUGAGGUUGAAGAACAAACACACAGAUUUUGAAGAAGAAAACCAAACGAUAAGGUUUGAACUUGAAGAAGACAAAAGGGAAAGAGUUUUUUUCCAGUCAACGGUCCAAUCCUAAGGAAGUCAAAGACUCUAGUAGAAUAAGAGUAUGCUAAGCCCAAAAGAGGGAUCCUAUUUUUUAGUGCCGUUGGGUUUCUAUCUCUGAUCACUCUCUUUUACUUUUUUAAAAGUAUUAUUUUCUAUUAAUCAUAUACCAUUUUGGUUUUCCGUUGACACUAGUUGGAAUUUUGAUUUUUUGUUUUCCGGUUAUUAAAAUUUUAAAUAUUUCUCAUGUCGGUGUAAUAAUAGUUCAAUGAUGUGGCCACAAAAGAGACACACUCGCAAGACAUGUGUUCAAAUCUUGUCCUCAUGCAAGGAUCAUAUGAGCCGAAAUAUUCACUCAUACUCAAAAACCCAAUCUUCACAUUCUCGUACUAUCGUCAAUUCGUCAUCUCCCCCAAAAAAAAAUCAAUGGCUGAGGAGUUUCAUCUUCCUUUAAACCUCACCGAAACAGAUCAAAUUCCGACCGAAGAAGACUUCGAAGCAGACACUACUUUCAUCGACGACGAAUACCUCCGUUACCUCCACUACUUGGAUUCACGGAGCAAUCAUGGAGUCAACACGUUUGGAUCGUACGACGAAAUCUUCGGUUUAGUUCUCGGUAAUUCAUCUUCGAUUCAGCGUCUUAACGCGGCUGAGGAACUUCCGGUGGUUGAGUUUACGGCUGAGGAAAUGAUGGAGAGAGGUUUGGUGGUCUGUGCUAUAUGUAGAGAGGAGCUCGCUGCUAAUGAUAGACUCUCUGAGCUUCCUUGUCGGCAUUAUUACCAUAAAAAUUGUAUCUCGAAUUGGUUGAGUAAUCGGAACACGUGUCCGCUUUGUCGUCAUAUCGUGGAAUUACCUAAAGCCAUUUGAGAUUGUGCAUGUAUAGUUUUGUUACUAUCCCGACGACCCAUGUCUGGAGCCUAAGAGUUUUUUUUGGGUAAAUAUCAUUGUCAUGUCACAACAACUAUUUAGAUUACUGAGUUUAGAAACUAGUGUUUUUUCGAGUCCACAUGGUGUGCGUUUCUCCAGGGUCGACAUAGGUUUUUUCGAGUUGUCAUGUCUAGCUUUUGCAUAGGUUUCUUGAAUUUAUAUGUCACUACUAUUACAUUACUGAAUUCUUCUAGUCUUAAUUCAGACUAUUCAUGCUUUUGCUUAUGUCUUAUGUUUCUUUUGCUUAUGUCGCAACUAAUUUUCCCAACUCAACCAUUCACAAGAACUUGGAUAGGGCUGGAGUUUCUCUGUACAGUUGGACGAGAUUAAUGGUGUUGGGCUUUGUACUCGAUAUUCAGCCCGGAUAAGGCCCAUUGACGAUUUCAGAGGCAAAGUCAUCAAGCCCAAUGCCUACUUCAAAGAUGGAAUUAGAGAGGGAAACAAAAUAUCUUAAAUUUUGGAUUCCUUCAUCUACUUGUUAUUUUUCUCUCUCAGCUUGAGUUUGUUAUCAAUUCAACCUUCUUGUACGACAACUUCAAUAAAUAAAUAAAUAAAAGAUAAUUUCCGUUACUUUUUUUUUUUUUUUUAGUUUCCGUUAUUUUCCCGUUGGAUUUUAGUUUCUAUGAAGAAGUUUUGGGUAAAUUACAGUAUAUAACUAUAUAUUUUUGUUUAUGUUGAGUUAUCAUUUUCUCUUUAAAAGAAAAAAAUUAUAAAUCUAAAUACAAAAUAUAUAAUGCAAGUUCUAACGGCAAGAAAAAUGUAACUUAAGGAUACAAUUGUAAUUAGUAGAUACCUAAUCACUUGUGUAAUCUCUAUAUAUAUUGUACAACCUCUCAUCUAAUAAACUUAAGCUUUCAAUCAUAUAUGUGGAUGUCGGAUUCACACACUCAAGUAUUUUAUUAAGUAGGAAAGAUUAUUCUUGAGGGACAAAAAAUGAAUGUAUAAAAACUUGUAAAUUGCUACGAAAAUUGCUAUAAUAUUUUUCUCUUGAGAGGAAGAUCCCCUUACAUGGCCAUUGGCUUUCAUAUUUAUACAUAGAGAAUUGACAUUAAAAUGAAUAAUUAAAUACAAUUAUUCCCUCUUAAAUGUGUCCGUUUUGAUUCUUCGAUUUUAAUGCUCAACGUUUGAAUUUGAGUUGACUCUGAUCUUCGUGGGCCUCGCCUUUUCGGCCCAAGUAUCCUUGAACCAUCUUACCCAUGCCUUCUUCAUCGAACUCAUGUCGUAAUGCAAUCACUUCGGAUUCUCGAAGUGGUGACGACCACUUCGACCGUUCCUUCGGCUGAUGGGCUUCAUUCUUUACGGGCCAUUAUCUUGACUACGUGGCAAUCUUUGGUUGGUCUUGUACUUCUGGUGCGGGAUCCGACACCAACAAUAUAUGGUAUCAGAGUCUUAACGAUACCUUAACCUAUAAAUUUUUUUCCUGGCUGCCACUCUCCUCCAUUCUCUCAUCAAUCUCUUUGUCCUUCUCUUAUUUCACUCCUUUCUCUACAACCAAGUCUAGUUCUAGCUCUCUGGCCACUGUUUUUGAGACUAUCACUGUCUCCAAUUCUCCCAUUCUCCUAAACGUCAACAAGACCAAUGUGACGAAGCUCACCGACUCUAACUUCUUGAUGUGGAGUCGCCAGGUUCACACGCUGCUUGAUGGGUAUGAUCUCGCCGGUUAUGUCGACGAAUUUGUCACCUUCCCACGACCUACUUGCACUUCUUGGGUAUUGAAGCUACUCAAAUAUCGAAAGGGCUUCACAUUGUGCACAAAAAAUGCAUUGUUUAUCUCCUAGCCAUGACCAACAUGAUGGAUGCAUGACUGGUUUUUACUCCGAUGACCAACAUGAUGGAUGCAUGACUGAUUUUUUCUCCAUUGUUGAUCUCCUAGCCAUGACCAACACCUCUUGAUAACCCGAGCGAGUACAUGGCUGUUCUUGGGAGCUUUCAAUAUAUUGCAUCCACACGACCUGAUAUAGCGUAAGCGGUUAAUCGCUUGUCCCAAUUCAUGCACAGCCCAACUGAUCUACAUUUCCAAGCCUUGAAACGCAAACUUCAGUAUCUGACAGGGACUCCAUGUCAUGGUAUUUUAAUCCGGGCGGACACACCACUAGUCCUACAUGCCUAUUGCUGACGCUGAAUGGGUUGUGGACAUGGAUAACUGUGUCUACAAACGCCUAUGUCUUGUAUCUUGGUGGUAACUCCAUUUCAUGGUCUUCAAAGAAACAGCGGGGCGUCUCUUGCUCAUCCACCGAAGCUGAGUAUCUAGCUGUCACCAACACCACAUAUGAGAUUCUGUGUAUAUGUUCUCUAUUCACCGAACUUACCUUGUUGAUGUGAGUCAAAUUAGACCUAAGACUACUCUCUCAAAUAAGAUAUCAAUUGCAGUAAUUUAGGAUCGAAAUCCACAAAGCUCUCGUGUUCACACAAUAGACUAACAGGUUUUGAAUUAAGCUAAACAGAAAAUAUUGUAAAAAUAAAGCAAGACAAGUAAUUAAAAUCAAAGUAAAUUCAGAUGAGGAAAAUGUCAAGCUUAGGGAUUUCUCAGGAAAUAAAUAAAUAGUAAAUCAAGCAAAUUAAUUAGAAUUAUUUAUCGAACCGUUCUAGAACUUAAAUCACUAAUUUAUAGUCAACCACCUCUCGAAUGUUAUUGACUAACUAAACCUAAUAUCAGGAAGUUCCACCUCUCGAAUGCAAACUCCUAGAAUUAGGGUAGCAUUAAUAACAGGUUUGAUAUGUUCACAGGUAUUCCUAGACCACCUCUCGAAUCUAUCUAGUAAUUUCUGCCCACCUAAGAUAGUUCCAGUAACAGGCGCCCUCUCGGAUCAAAACCUACUAUCCUAUGAUCAAGUUCUAGUUAGCUACUCUAGAUUUCUAAUGAGAAUUAAUCCUCACAGGUAAUCGAUCUAUAGAUUAAACCUAACAAGCAAACUACUCAGACAUAGAGAUUGAAACAAACAACAUGAUUGAAUAGAAUUCCUUAAAAAAAUAAAGAAGAGAAUAGAGUUUAGAAAAAUCUUCUCUGGAGAAGCUCUCUCCAAUUAUCUCCCAAAGGAUUCAAACUCCAAAAAAUACAAGAGAAUAAGAGAUUGAGAGAUGUCUCUAAAACAAAACCCUAAAAAUCUAUUUAUAUGUUCUAAAAAACGUGCAUGGACUUCUUUGAAAAUACAGAAAAGUUCUAGGGCGAUUCUGCAAAUCUUUAUAACUUCAAAAAGACGCGCAAUUGAAUUGCCGUCAGAUUUUGGUGUUGACCGACACUAGGGGUGGUGACGAUCGACACUUGCACGAAGUUUGGUCUCCGGUCUGCUCUUGUAGCAUGACUUCUCGGUUUUGCUCCAGAAGGAUCGAUAAUCUCCAAAUUGGGUCCGAACGUGCAUAAACCUGAAAAGGACUAGAAAAGACUCUAGAAACAACAAAAAAAAACUCUAAAACUGACACAUAUAUCAUGACUAAAAACGAUAAAAUUCAUGAUAUAUCACUUGUCAUCACCACCAGUGAUCUAUUGUGACAAUGUCGGGGACUACUUAUCUCUCCGCCAAUGCUAUCUUCCACUCGUCUAUGAAAGCAUAUUGCCAUUGACUUUCACUUUGUUUGUGAAAACGUCCAAGCUAGUGCUCUCCGAGUGUCCCAUGUCUCUAUAAAGGAUAAGCUUGCGGAUGCAUUGACGAAAGCACUUCCUCAUCCACGCUUUACAGAGAUCACAUCCAAGAUUGGAGUCACUCAAGUCCCUCCAUCUUGAGGAAGCUGUGUAAGAGAAAUUUAACUUAAAGAUAUAAUUGUAAUUAGUAUAUACCUAAUCACUUGUAAUCUCUAUAUAUAUUGUACAGCCUCUCAUCUAAUAAACUUAAGCCUUCAAUCAUAUACUAACAUCCACUAGUUGUCAAGUAUAUGGAUAUUGGCAUCGAGUGUCGAUGUAUGAGGGAUUCGAUAUAGAAGGUAUUAGUGGGUUGGCGACAUUUUGUGACAAUGUGCUACAAGAGACAAACCUAAAUCUCAGUUAUGUAGAUAAAUACAACAACGAAAUGGCUUCUUGUACAUGUUACCAUGGGCGGAUCUAAGAGGGCAAUAGGGGUGGCAGCUGCCCCCAUUAAAUUGUAAUAAUUGUUGUAUUUUUAUUGAUUUCAUUUGUGUUUUGCUAGCUAAAAUGAUGAAAUAUCUCCCCCGUCCCCCCCUUUAAAUCAACGAUCAAACCCAUGUUGCCCUAUUCAAUAUACUUGUUUUUCUCUUUCUUUCUUUUUAUAAUUUUUUUUUUCCCUAAAUUUUAGCUAUUUUAUAUGGUUGUUUUCUAUUUUAGUCAUAUUUUUUGCAAGAAUCAACUUUUUUCUUUUUUAUUACCUCCCAAAAAUGGAAUUUUUUUUAGUAUUAUUAGUUAAUACAUUAUGCUCCCGGCGAAAUUAUUUUCUAGAUCCGCCACUACAUGUUACUAAAUUUUUUUUCUUGCAAACGAUACAACCAGCGGCUCAUUGAUCCUAAUCCUAUAACAAAUAUUUGGCUAAGUGCAUAAGCCACAAUUAUUAUCCUAAUUUGAUGGUUUUAAAUCAAGUAAUAAAUCCAAUAACAAAUACUUGGCAUAUAGAGAUGUUGAAUGUCCCGAUUGAUCCUAAAAAAAUUCAAAUUAUCCAGAGUAUACCAUCAUUAUUUUUUUCUAGAAAAUCACACUUAAUUUAUUAGAUGACAUUUUUUUUUGUUGAAAUGUUAAAUUGACUAUCAACAAAAAAAUAUUUACAAGAGUUUUGCAAAGUAGGACUAAUAGAGCAAUUUAAAACAAUUCAGAAAAUGAAAGCUUGUAAAAACAGAGCAGCAUAUGAAAACCAGAGCAUUGGACAGUGAGUUAAGUCGGGGAUUUCUGCAAAGAAAUCCAGCGAGCUUCUAGGGUGCCAUACUUGCUUCCUGGUUUGUACGUGAGGCUGGAGAUACGAUCCGUGAUGUCCUUGGCGAUGAAGAUAAUCAAGUGUUCAUAAUGAUGAUGGCCGGAGUUGUGGAUACGACCAUUGCGUUCCCUCCAAACAUGAUAUAUCGUUGUCUAAAAUAUCAUUCGGAUGAGAGCUGCAUCAAUAACAGAGGAGGAGCGGGCAAUGAUGGCUCGGAGAGUGUCAGACCAGUCCGGAGUUGAAUGCCUUCGAAGAAGAGGAGCACUUAAAACCGACCACAUCGAUAACGUAUACGGACAAGCGAAGAAGAGAUGGUCUCUUUCACCACAUAAGGGACACGACUGUACCUGACCCCACAGCCUCAUCUGUUGGCUCGUCGAGAGUCUAUCCUUAAUGGCAAGCCAAGUGAUAAACGAAUAACGAACUGCUUGGGGAAACCAAACUGACCGAGACCAAUUUACUUUUUCGGAAGAGUUUCGGAUGGCAUUCCAAGUGCACUUUGAGGAGAAAGAUGGCAGGAAGUCAUCCUCCUUGUGCUUCCAUAAUACAAUGUCGUGACCAGCAAGCGGUGAUGGCAGGGAGAUAGGGUUUAUAAGGUCAGCAACAGCUCUGUAAAUUGGUCAUCUUGGCCUUCUAAUGAUCCAUUGCUGAUUUAUCACAACAUCAGCAACAAAAGCGUUCUUAUUAAUACCAAGAUGUAGCGGCCCCAUGUCACCCGAACCUGUCCAAUUAUCCCACCAAAACUUUGUAUUUUCACCAUUUUUGAGAUCAACUCUUAUAAAGGAAGCAGCAAGUGGCCUCAAUUUUAGUAGUUUUUUCCAUAUCCAAGAUCCCACACUACCUUCACGAACAAUCCAGAAAGAUGCAUUAGGGAAAUAUAAGUGAUGCCUUUUUUAUAUAAUAUAGGGUGUGACUGGUAGUAUUAUACAGAAAAAAAGAUACGAGAUGAAAACAAAUUCUUCUAUAUUAUAUUUAAAUUUCACCAGUCUAAAUGACAAAAGAAUUCAUCUUUCAUCCCAAUUCUUUAAAAAGUAAGAUAAAAUAGUAUAAAACAUCCCACUACAAAUAUACGGUACAACAAAUUUUUCUACUUUUUAUUUUUUUUUUCUUCUCAUUUCUUCUCAUAUUUGUCUUUUCUUUUCUACUUAUAUCACACCAAUCACACCCAUAGCGUGUCAACAGAUGAAAUAACAUAAUACUUCUAAAUCCCCCUUACAAAAGUUUAGACAAUUUUUUUUAACUACAUGUCGUAUAAAAAAAAUGAAAAGCCUCAUGAUGCACCGCAAUACAAGAUUCAAGGACAAAUAUUUUUUUGGCCGGCGAGACAUAAUACAGCGUAGAAUUAGGAUAAUUCCCAUUUAUUUAUAUUAUUUAUUUUAGUUUUUAUUUUUAGUGUUUCUAGAAUAUUCUAGAGUUUUCUUAUGUUUUAUUAUAAAUAAGCCGUUAAGGCCUCCUUUUGUAUUCAGUUGAUUUAAUAAAUAAAAUUAAAGAGCUUUUAGCUUUUCAGAGAAGAGUAUUCUCUAAUCUUUGUUUUCGGUAGAUCUCAAGAGAUCUCAACGAUUAUAAGAAGACGUAGGAUUCGGUAUUCGCGGAGAAUCAACGAAUUCCUCACGUUAUCUCGUUUCUGGUAUUCUGAGGAAUCAACAGAUCCGAGAAACCCUAGUUUCUGGGUAUUCUCAGAAUCAACGGAUCUAGUUCUAUCCGUAAAAGCUUCUGCUUCAUCACCUUCUCAUUUACGAUCUUAAAUAAAUAAAGUAUGAGAUCAUGGGUUAGAUUUAGUUAUGACUUUUGCAUGAGAUCAAAGUUUGUUUAAUUCUGACCCUAAAAUAAUAUCAAAAGGUAUAAAAAAAAAUCAACUAAAACAAAAAUUCUCUGACCGCAAAACCCUCAUGUCUACUCUGGAACUAAAAACCUUGUGAGAUUGCUGCUAAAACAUUAUUAUUUUUCAAUUUCAUAGAGUUACAAAAAUAAUAAUAAUAUCAAUUGUCUUAGCUUUCUUUAGUUUUGGUGUAGGGUUGUAGAUGUGCCUCCCUAGCCACCUACCCUAUACAAUUUGGCCUUAUUCGCCCAAAAUCAUACUUUUAAUGAUUCUGUCUCCUUCACAAGUUCACAUGUUGUAUUUAAUACAAUUCAUUAUUAUUAAGUUUUUUUAAUUAUUAAUUUUAGAUUUUAAUGUAUGAGGCUCUAGUAUCUAUUUGCUACAAACAAUUUUUUUACUUAAAUUGUUUCAUUUUAAAAUUUUAUUUAUAAGCAUACUAUAUAUAUUAAUAUUUUCUAAGAGUUUCAGUUGAAUUUUGGGGUAAUUUUCUAUUCUUGUUAUUAAAAUUAUUUAGUGGAAUAUAUACAGAGAAAGAACAUGCGAUAAAAUGAAAAAGAUGUAUUGACUAAGGGAAAUAAAUGGUAGAAAAUGACAAGAAGAGUGUGUCUAUUCUUGAGGGUACAAGAUCUAAGAGCAUAUAUUAUCUUUAAUUAUAAGAUUGUUUUAUAUCAAAUAGACUCAAGAUUACGAUGUUACUUUCACAUACAUUUCAAUCCAAUCCAAGCUUUUUGUGUUUUGGAUCUUUAGAACUUCAAAUCUUUGGACUAGAAAAUACGUUAGUUUCCUCUCUUGUAGCUAUUGGUUUCUAUCAAUCAUGAUAUGUUUAUCAGCUUUUAUUGGUAAUUAACACCACGUUAAUAAAUAAAUAAAUAAAAAAAAAACAUGUAUGUUGCUGGACAUAUGAUAUUUUUACGGUUUUUAUCUAUAAACUCAAAUGGACCCUUUAUGCUUCGAUGAUAUUACUUUAGGGGUAUGAACAUAGUUUAUAUUUAUAACGUUGACACAAGAUUGAAAACUUUAACAUGGCACAUAUGAUCAUUAAGUUCAUCGUAGCGAUUGCUUCAAGUGAAAAUUUAACUUUUGUUUAAACAUUGUUAGAUAACUAUUACCAAAUAAGUGACGACAGAGAGGAGGAACAAUUUGUGUAGCAAAGUUGGACGUUAAGUAAACUUUCUGAUUGAGACUUACUAGUGCCCACUAAUUAAUUGACAGUGUUUUGAGAAUAAACAUGCGGAUAUAUCGCUAGAGGUUAGAGUGACAAAUCAUAGUUUAGGUAAAUAUGUUUUAAUACAAAUUCGAAGACGGAUUACAGAUUUGGUUUUGGCACAAAGGGCAAACUUUCUUUCGAACGGGUUUUUAGAAUUUUUUUCCAAAUAAUUAUCGAUUUAUGAUUGCAUAUAUUGUACCAAGGUUUUUUUUGGUGAAAUAAAUUUUACAUUAAUUAAUAAAAAAUGUUUUAACAGAUUUUAGUAUUUUAUCUAACUGUUUUGGAACGUUAUAUUUUGUAAGAUGAUUAAGCCACCAUUGAGGUAUUCAAGAAAUAUGAAAUGUGUUUGUGUAUAUAUACUUGUAAUUGUCAUGUGGUUCAGCAACUCAUUUUCUAUAAAAAGAUGAUUUCGUAAGGGUAAUAACAUUGCACGUUAAAGACGAACUUCCAAUAUCAUGCUUACCAUAUUUUAAAACAUCUCAAAAAUAUAUAGAUUAAGGAUGUGUUGCUAGUAGUAUCCUUUGUGUAUAUAUACUUGGUUUAUUGUUUUCUUGAUUUGUUAAGAGCCUUCUCCAUAAAUAAACGUUUUCUUUUCUGAAAAUACAAACCAAGACUCACUUCGAAGUUAUGGAGAAGGCCCAAAAGUCUAGUUCAACUCACUAUUUUAAUUUUAUUAUGUUUUCAAGACAAUUAAUUUAAUUUUCGUUACAAGUUUGUUUCCUCUAUAUAUUCAUAUAAUUUCGUUCGAAAACACAUCUAACAUUUUAACUAAAUACUCUUUCUUUUCAGGAAUGAUUCUCUUUGAGUUUUUUGCGAUUUUUUUUAUUCUUCGGUGUGGAGUAUAUGUGCUGAUCAGAAAUUAAUGUGCGUAAUAUCCAUAUGUGUUUACCUAGAUUUACAAACGGUUCAUACAUCCCUGUUUGACGCCUUCACGCCAUGAUUUAUAAGUGCGUUGUGAAUAUUGAUUCAUGGCGGAUGCACACACAUUGUUAAGACCCAGGGGAAAACUUAUUUCUACAUAUGAAUAAAUGAUUCACUCACAAAAGAGUUGUUUUUUAUAUAGUAAUAAAAUUGUAUCAAUAAAAUAUGUUCUUAAAGUUUUAAAAUAUCAAAUCUCCAAAACAAGUAUCUUUAAUAAAAGGAACGUUUAUUAUCUCCAUGCACAAGUGACAAUAAAUAUAGUAUUCAGGUGUAAUAUAACAAAUUAGGUGAACCAAGCUCAAUAGAAAAAAAUAUGAUAUAACCAAUAGUAAUCCAACACCAGUAAGGUAUGCCAAACGUAAAGACAAGUGGUCUCAAUACAUGUGUCGAAAUGUGAUUAAACUUUCGAUAUUUACUUAUGAAUUGGUUGAUUUAGUUCGGACCCAUUGUAAUCACUUGAUUCCAUAAUUAGGCAAGAAAAAUUGAGUUCAUUACUUCUCAAUCUUUUCCAAAGUGAGAAUCUCAACUAGUUUUCAACACCACCUUAAUGUUGAGUUCAAAUUUGUAUGCUUAAUUACUUAUGUGUGUUCCUAUAUGUCCAGACACAGUUCUAUUUCUCUGUUUCACAAAGAGUAUCAUUCUACAUUUUCAAUGUGAUUUUUACACAAAAUUUCCUGAUUUACCCUUAAUCUAAAGCUACUUCUCAUUGAAUUUAAAUCACUAAUCACUUAUUAAAUAGGGGUAUACAUGUAUAAUUUAAGGUUUUCUUAAUUUGUGUGAAAUUUGUCAAAACGACACUCUUUGUAAAACGGAGGGAGUAUAAAUUAAAUAUAAUAUAAGAUGGUACCUACAAUAAGGAUUCAAUCAAAUUUAGUUUUUAUAUAAAUAAUAAAGAUCCUUUAUCACUUAUGAUUAUUAGUUAUUAUAUAUUUAUUUGCCUAGGGACAAGUAAAAAACUUUUGAAUGCUUUUAUAUUUGUCAAACAAACUUUUGAAGUGCACAAAUAAUUAUUAAUUAUUAUUUUUAUUUCUUAGUUUCAUAUAUUUAUAUUUUGGGGUUUUAUGUUUUUGCUUUCAAAUUUUCCAAUGAUUUUAUUCAUUAUCAUUUAUAUGUUUUUCAUGUCUAAAUCUGUUUUUAUACUCUUUAAAAAAAAACUUUUCUAUAUUUACUCCAAUAUAUAAAAUUUGAUGUUUUAUGUAUUACACACACAUUAAAAAGAUAUACUUAAUAUGUCCUAGAUUUAUCAUUAUUUAUUAUAAAUUUCAAAAUUUUUUUACUACAUAAUAUAGACUAAUUAAAACAAUGGAAAAGUUCAUAGUUAAUAAUAAUAAUUGUGAAUUUUUUUUUUCAAAGUCUAACUUUUUAAUAUAUAGAGUAUAUCUUAUCAACUACAUAUUUUAGGUUCAGUGCUACUAAUCAUUUCUUAUUUUUACCCAUAAUAUUAACAAUAAUUUCUUUAAAAUUUAGAAAAAUCUGAAAGAUUAUUAUUAUGUUUCGUAUUAAAGAUUCCUUUGGCUGGUUUCUUAGUGCUACAUUUGUUAUUGGAAGACAAGUUAAAUCAAAGUACUCUUUCCGUGCAAAAACCAGAGCCGUCAUUUUAGGGGUGUGUUCUUUGUCGUCACGUUAAUGUUCCCAAACUAUCCUUACCUUUUGACUAUGAAGUUAUGGUGUUUUUGAAAAAUUGGUUUAACAUUCAAGGGCAGUAUUGUAGUAUUUCAUGUAAAUAUUUAAAAGACGAGGAUAAUGUUUACGAUUCAAUUAAUCAUUGAUUUCGAUUUCGAUUUCGGAUGCUACCCAACUCAAUAAAAGAUACCAUGUAAUCACAUGUUUCAAAAGAGAUCGGUAAUCGAAGUUUCUAUCUAAACAUUUAGUACUAUUUUAGCUCGAAAUGUGUCAUUGUUUCAGCAAUUACAAAAACGCUAAGACUAUUUUCACUGGUUAUUUUUAAUAGGGGUUUAAAAAUAUUUUAUAAUUAAUUUUAUUAUUAUAAUUAUGAAUGCUUUUAGAGUGUGCAAAAAUGUCAAGUGUCUACUUAGAGACAGUUUUGAACACUCUAAAAAUACUCAUAAUUAAAUAACAUUAAAAUUUAUUAUGAAAUAAUCUUUAGACAUACAAUUUGGCGGGAGAGAAAUGGUAGGCGACAUGGAAAACCGGCGACUCACCCCUCUAAUCUAAUCCAGUUUAUUGACAAGCAAGUCCGUAGACUUUCGACUGACUCGAACCAUGGGAGAUACUCGAUUCGACAAAUGAUUGUCGAUAUGGUUUGCAACACGAUAGAAUAAUCUUUCUACUUUAUUCUUUUAAUCUUUCAAAAUAGUUAUAGAAAUUCUUUAAACUAGCUGCAAUUUUUUGUACAAAACGUUUUCUUUUUGAAUAAAUUUUACAUUCUAUUCUUAGACAUCCACCAAAAAAUGACUAAUAGAGAUGAUCUUAAUUAUCUAAAGCAGUAUCUUGCAAAUUUGCAUUUACUUGAUCUAUAUAUUUUAACUUGGAAAUCUAUGAUUUAUCAACUCUACCAUGUAAAGGACUACUCAGAUUAUGAAUCCUUGUGUUUCGGAUUUUUUUCUCCUCUCUCAAACUUUACUGAAAUUUAUGUUCGUGGUUCGAUUUGAACUGUCUGUUCAAAGCUGAUAGAUGUACAAUUGGUGGAAGUAUAAAACUAUGUGAUGUCAUAUUAGGGAUCUCACCAGGUGGUCACGAGCUUGAAGAUGGUCCUUGUGACAGGAACUUUGACUUAGAAGUAUGCGUAAAUCUAGGGUGGACAUCCAUUUGACUUUAAGGUGAUUUUACUCAUUCCAUUGACUCCAAGAGAGGCUAACGUUUAUGUUCUAGAUUUUGGUGUUAUCACUAAACACGAAAUACUUUUAAUUGGGUAUUCAAGGUCUAACUUGUUAUAUGAUCUCAAAUUAGAUGAUAUGCUCGUUAGUUUGAAUGGGUGUAUAGCCUAACAUUUUAUUAACUUUAUCCUUUUUUUGGAUGCAGAAUCUGAUAUGUAACUGAUAAGAAAUAUGAGUCAAACCAUUUUUUUUAGUAAAACGAAUAAAAAAAAUUAAAUUUAGAACAACUUAAGAAUUAGAAGAAAAGAAGAUGCGUAUUUUAUUGUUAACGAUAAAAAAUUUGAUAUUAACCUUGGAUUUAAAGUUGUAAUUUUUGGAAUUAACCUAUGAUUUUGUUCAUAUUGCGACUCGAGUACAAAGAUAAGCUAGUGUUUCUUUGACGAAAUUUGAUAUUUUUCUGAUACCAAAUUAAGGGAGAAAAAGAUACUAUAAAUGUAUUUAAACUAAAACAAGAAAUGAAGUAUGGUCAGAACAAGUCUAUCUGGGUGUUAGAUUUCUCUCACCACUUCCGUGGCUCCUCCCCAGAGCAAUAUAAAGAGGAUCACAAGGCUUUUUCAUCCGGGUUUAAUUAGCAGUAAAGAGAGUCUUGUAAUUUGGUCUGUUUGUAUGGGUUUUUAGUCUCAGAUCUAUUAAUUUUUAUAUUUGAGUUAGGAUUUGUAUGUUUAUUUUGAGUAAAUGGAUUAUGAGUCCGGAUGGCAUUCAAUCGGAUGUUAUGUAAUUGUUUAUUUGAGUUUUUUCCUUUUUGUUUUAUCUUAGUUUUGUCUUUGUCUCUCAGAAUCUUCAUGUACUCGUCGGCUCUAUCUCGGGAAGGAUUAUUUCCCUUGGUGACUCUUGUAUUCCAACCUUGAAUUCUAUGAAUGAAAUCUAUAAUUCCAGUGAAAAAAAAGAAAAGAAAGAAAUAGGGUCAGAACUUGUUUUAUUCACAUGCAUUUGUAUAAAUCUAACAAAAGUUCAUUAAGACAAAAAUCCCCAAUACUAGGUGUUCAACUGUUCAUGGUUCCCUACACACUUGUCCAUUUAUGUGUAAACACUCUUAUAUAUAAUUACUAGUCAUAUCAUCUUCAUACAUUUAAUUUAUAAUAUUUUUUUUAAUGAAAUAUGAGUCUUGCCUUGUCUCAUGAUAUCUUUGACCACUUAGUCCACUCAAAACAUAGAGAGAAAGCGAGAGGAAUUUAACUGAAAUAUUAUUAAUAUUAUUACAAAAAAAUUUAAAACAUUCUAGAUAGCAAGACAUUGAAAUUUUCUAAUUGUUCUUAAUUAUUCAUAUAUAGCGAUAUUUUUUUUUGUUGACAUAUUCGAUCGACUGAUCUGGUUAGUUUUGGUAGAAACGCACCGAAGUACUUUAUAGUAGAUUUUCUCUGAAGGGUCACUACAAUGUUUUUAGAGCCGUACUUACAUCUGAAAACGUCCAAAGUGAUUUAUAGAAAGAAAAAAAAACUAAUUUAAAUUACAAAUAUACAUAAGUGUUCGGAAGAAUUAUAAUUUUAUAAGAUGAAAUUUUCUUAAACAAAAUUAUUAUUUAAUUUUUGUUAAUUAUGGGAAUACAUUAUUUUUAUUUUUUCCAUGAUUCUCACUACCACUAAAUCACGACCAUGUGAGCAUAUACAAUGAUUUCAUUUUGUUAUUAUCGUUUAUACGAUGCGUAUAAUGCGUUUAGAAAGUUAAUGUAUAUAAACAUUUUGUCUUUAUCCUCCAUGGUAGAAAGUACAACACGUAAUUUAAUUAGGAAUGAAAUGAUUAAGUAAUCUUGUUUUACAGCCACAGCUAUAUAUUAUCGUCAGUCUUAAUCUAUCUUUUAUGGGAAAAUUGGAAAUAAAUGAUAUCUACUUAAAAUUUUGUCCAUAUAUCCAUUCUUCUUGUAGAUUGGUCAAAUAGGGCUUUUGAAAAUAAAAAAACCCAAUUUUACCCUCAUCUUCUCUCAAAAUUAAUAAAUAUUAUUUUAAAAAUAAAACUUUGUAAUCUAUUUACAAAAAUUAAAUAGAAAUCUAAACCACGUAGACCUAAUUAACUGUUUUUUUUUCCUUGUCGUAGAUGAACAUGUCGAGGUAAAACAAAAAGGACCCUACUCUCUCUCAAACGAGCCCACCGCCGUGUCUCCACCGACUGCGUGUUUUCCGGCAUCGUUGGUCCUCCGGUGUUCAUCUGGGCGACGAUUGAAGACUGAAUCAAUAGGUACGUUGCUCUACUCUUUUUUGUGAUUGAAAUUAUGUCUUUUUCUCAUCUCAAGUCACAAUUUUUGUUACUCGUUUAGAGAUUUGCGUUCAUAUAAACACAAAUUAGAUUUGAGACUUGUAAAUCGAUGUGAAUCUUUUUGUUCUCUCGAUUUAGUUGCAAGUCACAAUUUCAAUUUGCAUGUAGAGUUGUUAAUAUCUUUGAAUUCGUGAAAUUCGAUUAGAGGUUUCAAUUCGGUGAGUUUUAAAAUUCCAAAUUUAAAUUGAAUGUAGAUUGAAUAAGUCUUUCGCUCUUUGAUUCCAAAUUACAAUCGAAGUGAUCUUUUUGUUCUCUUUUUGAUCUGUUAAGUCCACUAUUUGUGUGUGUGUGUGUGUGUCGUGAGUAGCUCAAGUACGUGUCUUGUUUUUUUUUUUUAGUUAUAGGGUUUGUCUUCUGUAAAUCUUUUUAGCUAAAGCCAUCCACAUAUCGCCAUUGGAAAUAUUUCAAUUGCAUGUAGAUUGAUUAAGUCUUCUAUCUCUUUGAUUCAUGUUAAUGUAUAUGUGUUUGUGUUGGAAUUCAUUGAUUUAAACAGAGUUUAUGAAGAUUGUUUCAGAGAAUUGUUGUUUCGGGCUUCACAUGUUGCUUUAUUUUUGGUUCUGUUCUUUGAAAUUUGUGUUACUCGUUUAGAGAUUUCAAUUUUUGUUUGUUGUAAAACUCCAAAUUUUAAUUGCUAAUUAAUUUAUUAAGUCCUCUAGCUCUUUGAAUCACCUUUGUGUAUAAUCGUGUAGAUGUCUCCAUUUAGUGAGAUAUACAUGUCUCAAUUUUAAUUGCAUGUAGUUUUAUAAGUUCUUUCGAUUCGGGUUAGUGUAUGUAUUUGUAUGUGUUAUAUAUUUAUAAGAGAAAUAAGUUCUGAAACUUAACAAAUCAGUUCUGGAUAUUUCUCUUAGUUUAGUUUAGGAGAGCACUUUCAGUUUAACUUGAAAAUAUCUGCAUAGCAAACUAAUUAGUCACUUUCAUGACUGAUUACGUAUUCAAUUCUAUAAAUACUAACUUGUUUUUAAAAAUAAUUGUAUUGCAGGAAAUAGAUGCAGUACUGUACUUACAUCCGGAGUCCACAUCUUUACGCCGACUGAAUUCAGCUCGUGCUAAUUAAUUAAUUAAUUAAGCAUUUUUUGAAAGUAAGUUUAUUGAGUUCGUCUCUAAUAUCUCCUUUUAGCUCGAGCAAGAUGAUUUUUUGUUCUCCACUCCUUCUGCUUAAUGAUAUGUCCAAUCGUUUUUGCCGAAGGUGUUCGACAGAAUUUGCUUUUCUUGGAAGGAGCACAUGUAUGGUUACCCACAUACUUGUUGAUUUUUACAUACGAAGACCGCUCUAAACACUCAGCUCGAAUUCUCCACUUGCAGCCAACAUCUAUGCAUCGUAUACACCACAAUUUUGUAUCAGACUUUGUAAUCCUGUAGUCGCAAUUAUAUUUCAUCGCAUACAAUUCCAUGGUUGACUGUAACAAUUCUUUGCUUCUAAAAUACUGACCCUGGCUCACACAAGAAUACUGUGACGAUGAUCCGAGUCCGUGACCAACAAUAGCAUUUUUUGGAGUUUUGAAACUAUCGUCAUUCUUUCUAGUUUCUUUCACAACCCAUGAUGACGAAAUAUCGUCGACAUUAACAUCAUCAUCUCCAUUAGUUGCAGCGUCGGGUUCUUUAUUCAGAUCAAAUUUUUCUUUACUCCCUGUAUCUUUAUCUCCACCAUUGAACGUCACACAUAACUUGAUCGUAUUUUUCCUUUUACAGUACGAAAGGAAAUUACUAACCUGUAUGUUAUUCAUCAUUACAACAGGAGGACAAUCCAAGCUAAGAUCCGUGGGUAAGUAACUUAGCUCCACAUCAAUUGUACUCUGUUCUAUUCCGUAGUCUUCUGCAACAAUCGCCUGUAACUCUUCAAAAGUUGUAGUCAUUUCCAAACUCAACAAUCUCCCACAAUUUUUUUCAUCAAUAAUAAAUCUUCACUCCUUCUUGUUAUACAAUCUCCACACACCACUCUCUCUGUAGAUGUGCAUCGAGAAAUCGUUGAUCAAAAAAGGAAAAAUUUGAAGAAAAAGUGUUCUUAGCUUUUUAGAAACGAAAGUGGUGGACUAAGACGUGUAGGAUUAAGACGUGUAGAUUUUUAGGGUUUAGAAAACGUUUUAGGUUUUAAUCUUACUCUAAAAACCGUAGACAACAACUUUUACAUCUUGUAGAUCGUAAUCUAAACAAUAAAUAUUCAUUUAAUUCAUAAUCUAAAAAAAAUAUUUUGUUUCAUUUUCUGAAGAUUUACUUUCUAUAUUUAGAGCAUUCUAAAAAUUACAGAAAUCGAAAUCUGCAAUACCGUAGAAUUUACAUUCUAAACUCAGAUUACAAUUUCUAACGAUGGCAGAAGAUGUAAAAAUUAUUAGAACGUCUAUUCUAAAAUAUUUAGAACAUAGAGAAAAACGUAGAAUGCAUGUUCUAAAUAUUUUAGAUUUAUGAUUUUCGGAUUUCUAAAAUUCUCAGAACAGAAAUCUAAUCUGAAAUAUGUAGAACAUGUACAAAAAUGUAGAAUACACAUUCUGAGUUUCGCAGAACUCUAGAAAACGUGUUCUACCAAAAUUAGAUGAAACUUUAUCUAUCAAAAAAUCAACUUUUUUUAAACCAAAUCUAAAAAAUUUCACUUCAAAUCACCUAUACUCUUGUAUAUCUACCUGUUUUUAUGAUUACUUUUUUUAAAAAACAUUUAAAUUAGGGUGUAGGGGCUAAUCGUCCAAACUGACAAUCUCACAACAAAUGUAUAUAUGGACAAAUUUUUAAGUAGAUAUCCUUUAUUUCUAAUUUUCCCAUCUUUUAUUAGGCAAUAGUCUUAAAUCUAGCUUUUAAGUUUUUACAUAUGCAUGUAGAUUAAUUAAUGGGUUAGCUAUACAACUCUAAAAUAUUUAAAGAACACAUUUAUCUAAGGAAUUUUUGUUCUUUUUAAGAUCCAAAAAUUUAUAAUAAUGAUUGAAUAAUAUGCGGGUUUUUUUUUUUUCUAUCAUGUUUUCACAUUUUAAAAACGUGAUUUCACUGAUCACAUACCAUUUUUAAAAUAUAAAUAUAAGAAAUCAUCUUUCUUUCUUUUUAAAAAUCAUCUUCUUCCUUUUUCAAUUUUUGUUUUUAAAAUUAUCAUCUAGAUACUAAUUUAGACGAUUUAAGGCUCUACAUAUAUUUAGCAGACAUUGAAAAAGUCAGCUAGACUCACUACAGUUUAGCAGGAUAUGGAGAUAUUUGGAAGAUAAAAUACGUGUAUGUUGGUAUUUGGCAAAGUUUGCAUAUAUCUUUUUUGAGUUUUCGGAGAUUUGGUUGAGUUUGCGGACAUUUCAUAGAGUUUGAGGCUAUAGGCCGAGUAUGUUGGUAUUUGGCAAAGUCUUCUAAUAUUUUGGUAAAGUCUCUUGAUAUUAUUUUGCAUAAUCUUUCCAUAUUGUGGCUGACUCUGCAAAUCAUUGAUAUAUUCUACAUAUAUAUGGUACUUAACGAAAGUCUGCUAAACUCGCUAGCAGAGUCACUAGCAACCUUUGGGACUUUCAUUUUUGCUAAAUUAAAUAUAGAUCACUCGCGGUUACUCAGCUAACCUGACUAGUAACAGUUAUACCCUGAGAGAAUCAUGUCUACUUCGUAAGAUAUAUUUCUCUUAAUUUAUUCGGAUUCUUAAUGGAUAAAGAUUUUUGAAUUUUUUCAGAUUUUGUUGUCCGUGAAAUUCAAUAUUGUAUUUAUUGUAUAUAGUUACUCGAUUUUUAUUUUAUCAUUAACAAAGCUAAUACACCAAUAAAUUUGUAAUGUUCCCCUUAUACAAUUUUGUUUUUUUGUCAAUUAACAACUUUAAAGUAGCUAACUUAAGUAAACCAAUUUGUUGAAACAUUAUUUAAAUACAUAAUAUAAUGCAAAUGUACACAUAUAUUCCGUACAAGCAUAUCCGCUCUAGUAUUAUCUAUGUCCUAAAAACUGGCCACUCAUAAUAAUAUAUAUAUAUAUAUAUAUAUAUAUAUAUAUAUAUAUAUAUAUAUAUAUAUAUAUCAGUUUUGAGCAGUCUGUGAUUAAAAUAAUGGCACAUAUCUACUUUGAAAUUAGGCAUUUUAUCCAUGCGAGUGUUUUUUACUUUUGUAGACGAUGAAAAUACGUCAAAGAUUACAUGUUUAGAUUACAUGACUUCAUAGUUAGCCCUUGAUCGUUCAAUAGAAAAUAAUACCAUCCUACUCCUGAACAAUAUUACCCAAAUUCAAUUUUAUAAUAAUCAAAAUUAAUGUAACUAAAAUGUCUGUAAAUAAAUAAGUAUUUGCUUUGUCUUUUACAAAAGAAAUGUAUCUGGUUCAAUUUCUUUAUUGACUGAAAGAAAAACGAUUAGUUUUAAAAUUUUCACAAUGCGUUGAAAAGACAGGUUUCUUUAUUGACGCAAAAAAUGACAAUUGGAUUUGAAAGACAUAUGACUCCUCACAUCAGCACCUUGGUCCUCUAAUAUUUCAUUAUAUAUAUAUAUAUAUACGUUUAAGAAAAAAUGUAAAAUACAAAAAUAAUGCAAUAUCUUCUUCUCGCUUAUGUAAUAAGAAAAAGCAAUUCAAUUAAAAAAAAAUGAUUAUCCACUACACUACUCACCAUGCACCAGUUUAUACAUAUUUCUAUCUAGACAAAAAUUUUAUUGGAGAAGAUUGAUGAUACUAUAUCAUACAUAAAAGUAUAAAAUAUGUCCAUGAUAGGCCAAAUAUUGCGGCUGAUGCCUCGGAUUCCUUUCAUUUGUGCAAUGUGAUGAGUAAGUGGUCGAAUAACAUACUAACAAAUUGAUAUCAUAUAAGGUCCUAAAAUCUAUAAGCAGCUGUCGUGUAUAAAUCGAGGCCACAAGUACAUAUAUAUGGAGUGAUCUUAAUUAACAAAUUUAAGUGAGUUAAUAAGCUGGGUGUUUAAAUUUAUGCAUAUUUCGACAUAGCCAAUUUAUUUUAGACAAUAUCAUCAUCAUCUUCAGGGGAGCUCCCUCAGUACAUUUUAUGUUUUUCUACAUAUUAACAUAUGUAUAUUAUAUAACGUCUGAGAUUUUACUGUAUGACUAAUAUUGUUUGUAUCCAAAUUUUUUUUCUUUAAAAUUAACUACGUUGUGUUGUCACGUCCAAAGUUAGCUAUAUACAAAUAACUAAUAAUCAGUAAUCAAAAGUAUUAUGAUAUCUGUUAAAAACAAAUGUUUAAGAUUCUAGAAUUAAACUCAUUAUAUUGUAUCAAUAAAUAAAAGGUAUUAUCGGUUCAUAAUUUGGUUUGGUAAAAAAACUAGAAAAAAUAUGAAAAGCUUUUUGCCGUUUCUACGCCCAUGUCCCUCUCCCCAUGUGUGGAGGUUUUUCUUGACUCAAAAGAAAAAACAGUUUGGUCAAGAAUAUUCAUUAACUUUCUAUAGACACUAUUUAAUUACAAUAUAAACAAGAAACCAUAUAAUUAUCCAACAAACAUUCAUCUAAUUGUAGUCCCCAGCCCGAGUUUGUAACAUAUUUUAAUUAAUUGGUUGAAAAUCAAUAUAUGAUAUGUUUUACCUUAAUUAGGCAAUUAUGGAUAUAAGAAAUGAGUAUAUGUAUAUAUUCAUAUUUAGAUUAAUGUGCAUGAUCUAGGUACAUAAAUUCUCAUGUUAGAAACUUUAGUAUUGCUUCACCCAAUUGCAGAAAGUGGGCUCCAUUCCCCAACCUCUGCUCUCACUCACUCUAUAAAAUCCAUCUUCUCGCUUCACACACUAAAAACUCCAUCAGAACUUACAGAACCUUUUUUUUUCUUUUCUUUUUUUAAUUUCUUGACCUACAUUUUCUUUCAUCAAGUAAUAAAAAAACCCUAACUUUUUGCCCAAGUCAACUUCAAAAUGCAGCCGCAAACAGACGUUUUCAGCCUCCAUAACUACCUAAACUCCUCGAUUUCCUCUCCAUAUCCUUCUAAUUUCCCGAUAUCUACGCCAUUUCCAACCAACAGCCAAAACCCGUACUCCCUUUACGGAUUCCAAAGCCCUACAUAUAAUCCACAAUCCAUGAGCCUAAGCAGCAACAACUCAACAUCAGACGAAGCAGAAGAGCAGCAGAUGGACAACAAUAUAAUCAACGAGCGGAAGCAGAGAAGGAUGAUUUCAAACAGAGAAUCCGCAAGGAGAUCGCGUAUGAGGAAGCAAAGACACCUUGACGAGCUUUGGUCACAAGUUAUGUGGUUAAGGAUCGAGAAUCAUCAGUUGCUAGAUAAGCUUAAAAAUCUCUCUGAGUCUCACGAAAAAGUUCUUCAAGAGAAUGCUCAGCUUAAAGAAGAAACAUCUGAGCUUAAGCAAGUGAUCAGUGAUAUGCAAAUCCAAAGCCCUUUCUCUUGCUUCAGGGACGAUAUAAUACCCAUUGAAUAGAGCAUUUUUAACCGAUUCGUUUAUGGAAUUUUUGAGUCGGUCUAGUAUGUAACUUUUGUAUGUCUAGAGAUGUUUCAGGGUUUUGAUUACGGCCCUUUACGACGACGUUUUUAGAUUGAAGUAAAUUUCUAAACUAAAGAAGAUUAAUUAGUGUUAAUAUGAAGAACAAAUAUAAGUGGUGUUGGUCAAAUCAUGAGUCAUGUUAGUGAUGGGGACACAGUAAGGUGGUGUGGGUUUUGUUUCUUAUUACAACAAUUUCCAACUACAAACCAACACAUGCAUACACUUAUAUGUUAGCAUAUAUUUAUAUGUAUGGUGACAUCACUUAUAAAUGUUAUCAUCUUUUGGACAAAAGAAAAAUAACACAUGAUCGUUUGUGGAUUCAUGAUGAUUUCUUAUGUGAAACUUUCUAAAUUUGAUUAUUUUAGGCAAAGACAAAGGACAACCUUAUCUGUAACUGUUAAUCUCAAGACCCACCAAGAACAGUAUCUAAUCUAUGGUUGUGCAUCGACAUAAGAAUAUAUUUUCAACUUUAUGAAAAGAUUUUUGUCGUUCAGAUUUUUAUUUUCUUGGGGCUAAUAAUCAAAUUGUGACGAUUCCAUAUUUUCUGGAUGAUACAACAUAACUUAAAAUUCAUUGGAAAGAUUUUAUAAAAAUUAAAUUACUUUUUUAGAAAAAUCUUAAACGUUAGUUAACAUGGAAAUUAUAACAUAAACUUUAAACGCUGGUACCAUUGUGUUGUGUCUGCAUUCACUUUGAAUGUUCUACAACAGACAAAUAUAAAACAUUUUUUUUUUAAUUUAUAAGAUUGGUCAAGAACUCGAAUCGACUUUCAGAUAUAUAUUACUACGUAACCAAAACCUAUCAUUCCCUCUCCAUGCUCAUUGAUCUUUCUUUGACACAGAUAUAUAGACAAAGAAACAAUCUUACGUACGAGAUACCCUUUCGAAAUGUGGUCAACAAAAGAAACGAACUUUUUUUCUUUCUUUUUAUUCGUGUCAUGAGAUUCCUUAUCAAAAACUUACUACCCAAGAAACCUUUCCACUCGCAUAAAUUGUGUCUAAAAUUCUUUCAAAUAAUUCAAUCAAUCUCUCACUUUUUUUUCCUUCGUGGGAUCGAGUACGAAGAACUUAAUGUAAGUGGAAGACUAAAAUUAAAGUGUGACAACAAAGAAAGAUAUAUAUAUCUCUAAACAGCUUUAAGUUCUUUUUCUUUCUUGUCAUUCAUGAAGACGUAUAGAUCUUAUGUUCUUGUUCUCUAUAGACUGAAACCAAUCUUUGGUAACGCCAACAUUGUCGAACCAAGUAAAUCCGAGGCCAAGAACACAUAAACAACUCGAAGACUAAGAAGCUAUAUCGUUGUUUCCCUUAGAAAAUCAUGCAACAGAAAUGGAAGAAAAUAAAUAAAGAAAAUACAUGUAGAGCUUAGUCUCAAUACUCACGACACUAGAUUUUAACCCGCGGUAUACCGCGGGAUGAUUUAAUUUUAAAGUUAGUAUAAAAAUAUUUUGUAAAUUGUAUCUCCUUAUAACAUAUUUAUUUAUAUUAUAGUUUAUAAUUGUUAUUAAGUAACGAUAUACCACGAGUCCACGAGACAAUUAUUAAUAAACGGAGGAUUUAACCCGUAUUAAAGCGGUGUAUAAAUAUUGAUUCAAAUUUGUCCGCCAUAUAAAUCCUUUCCGAAAUAUAACUUGUUCCGUAAUUUCUUAACCCGUCCCGUGAUUUAUUUUUAUUUUAAAAUUUAAUGAUUAUUUAUUAUAUAUAAAAGUUUACAAAUCAUAUCAUCCUCUAAGACUACGAGACAUUAUACCAUGAGACAAAUUUUGGUUUUAUACAAUAUUUUCUAAUGAGACUGAUUUAAUAUGUCUAAUAUUUGUGGUAUUAAAAAAGGAUUUAAUCCGUAUUGAAGCGGCGGAUUAAUGAUAUUUUAAUCUUUUUAUUAUUGUUGAUUCAAAAACCCGUCCCGCCAAACCCGUCCGGCAAAAAAACUCAUUUAUUUUAUUAAUGUUCUUAUUUAUGAUAUGAUUCUGAAUCACUGUCUAAAUAUUUUAAUCGAUGUAGAACGUUGAACACACAUUUUCGUCAAUUGGAUAAUAUAUUUCCGUUUUUAAAAUUUCGAAUCACAGUAUAUGCAGAAAAAAACUUGAUUUUUUUUUACUUUAUGUAUUAUAUGAGGAUUCAAAACAGUUAAAAACAAAUCAAACAAAGAUGAUAGGAGAAUCAUAAUUAUAAAUCUUAAUCAAAUCUUCUAAAUAUCUAAAUUAUUAAAUAUGGAAUAUCCGGUGUAUGAGUUGGGUUAAAUAUAACCCGACCCGACAAAUUUUGUGUGAAGGAAUUUUAAAAACGGGUCGGGUAUCCGAUAUACCCGGAAGCAUUUUUACCCACCCGUCACCAAAGUGUUGCAAAAAUACUAGUAUAUAUACUAGAUAUGGACCCGUGCGUUGUACGGAUUUCCGGUCGAAAUUAUCAUUUUUAACUUUUAAUUUUAUAUAUUUAAGCAUAACUAAAAUUAUCUAAACAUAUAGAUUUUAGAUAAUGCAACAUUUUGAUUAUUAUUUAAAUAUAGAUUUAUAAAACACUAUUUGUAGUUAUGUUAUACUAAUUAUUAAAUCAUCUAAUAUAAAUAUUGGUCUAUUUCUAAAAUAAUAUUUUUUUUUGCUGAUUAUAAGUUAUGAAGUCAUAAAUGUUUAUAUGUUGUAUUAUUGAACUUUAAUAAGUUAUUUACAUCUAUCGGAAGAAUGUAUUACAUCUUAUAAUUUCAAUGUGCGCAAGAUGAAAAAAAACUGUGACAAUAAGAAAAGAUGAAAUCAUGUAAUUAUGUGGCAUUGUUAAUUUUUAACUUAUAUUAUCCAUUUCUUCGUCUUCUCUUUAUUCCUUCCGUUCGUCGGUGAGAAAUUCUCAAAUCUCUCUAUUUCUCUAAUUAGAUUUUUCUUAUUUUUGUUUGAACUCCUCUUUCUUUCUCCUUAUCUCCCUCUUUUCCCCUAUCUCCAUUUCUUCCUUUCUUCGAACAUCACCACCGAGUCUCAUUACUCUGACCCACCACAACAAAUAAAUCUCACUACUAUCACAAUUUCCACCACCACCAAUACCGAAUCACGCUAAUAUUGAUCCACCACCUUCAUCAACAUUUAUCGCCGCCACCACUGUCUAACUUUAACCACCGUCAUCAACACCAACACUACUGUUAUCGCUUCUUCUUCUCUUUCCCCAACUUUUCUUAUUACUCCACUUUCUUCUUCUUCUUCGAUAUCAGGCUAAGCCUCUCCGACAACAAUUCUAGUCUAUGCCCAUCGCCGUUCAUAAUUCUUAAUUUGCCACCAUUGCCAUAUAUUCUUUGGAUCUGAAUAUCACAUGAUAUUUUUAGAAAACCAUCGUGAUUUAUAGUAUUUAUUAUAAUUGACAUGAUAUAUUUACAGCAAAUGAUAAAUGCAUGUAAUUUUUACAUGAUCAUAUUAUUUUUUAAAAUCAGUCAAUCACCACCUCUGUAACCAUCAACCACCACCAUCAUACUAUUUUAUUAAAUGACAUUGUUGGAUGCCUCUAUUUCAUCGUCAGAAUUCUAAUUUUGAUUUUUUUUUCUCAUAUUUGUUUUGUCUUAUUAGUAUUUAUUUCAUGUUUUUGUUCACCAAAUUAGAAUACACAGUUUUGUGUUUGUCUUUUAUUUGAUAGCCAUUUUGAAUUUUAACAUAUCUGGAAAAAAAUUAGUUUCCAGAACUUUUUAACUCAUGGCUAUUUCUUUAAUUUUUUUUGAGUCAAAUGUUUGUUACUUAUAUUAUCCUAAAAAUACUUUAUAACAAAAAAAAAGGUUUACCAAUAGAAUGAAGUUAAAACAGCGGUGGUGUGUGAAAAAAUUAGUUUGCUUGGUGAAAAAAUAUGAGACAAUUUAUUGUUUAUAUAAAAGUGAUUAUUUACAAUUUUGUUUAUAGGAAUAACAACUUAUUGUAUAAUUUCCUUAAUCAUUUUUCUAUUUUAAAAUUUUUUUUCUUGUAUAUUCCCUCUGUCCCAAAUUAUAGGAUGUUUUAUCAUUUUUUCUUUGUUCCAUUUUAUAAGAUCUUCUCAGAUUUCUAUGCAUAUUUAUGUUUAUUUAGUAUGUUAUGACCAUUUAAAUUCUACAGUUUUUUUUUUUCUGUUUGCUGAAUUUCUAUAAAAAAGUAAACAUCAAUUAUUUGGUCCGGCAUUUUCCGCGGCUGCUGCUUGAAUCAGUCGCCGUGACCGCCGAACCGGAAUUCUUCUCUUCCCCCCAUGAGUUUUAGCCAUCAUCAGUCGGAAUUUUAACAGAGGGAAGCGAGAGAGAGAGAUUGGGAUUCUAGGGUUAGAAAAUGAAAUCGAUGUGUCUAAAAUGGCGAGUCAAACAAACUUCGCUAAUUAAUUGUAAAGUCAACAAAAACUUUAUGAUUUAAAUGUCUUCAUCGUAGUCCAAGAUUAAAUCGUCCCAAAUUUGAAAGUCCAUGAUUUUUUUGACAUUUUUCCCGUUUUCUUACUAUGAUCUAACUGUUUAAAUUUAUAAUUUCGUUAUAAUAAAAAUUGUUAAAAACAAAAAUUUUGGUUGCUAGAUUGCAAAAUCUUUUAUGGAAAUAUAUGUACAAUUUUUUUAUAAUCAACUUUUUAUAUUUUAAAACUGUUUACAUUUAUAAUUCUCUUAUAAUUAUUUUAUUAUCUUUUUUAUUAAAAAAGAAAAUUUAUUUGAUACGAGAUCGAAAUAUUUGAUACGUGUCACGAUCUCGUGAGUUAUUAACUUUCAAAACCAUAGAAAACGUUACACUUUAGUUUAUUUUUUAUUUUUGGGAGGUAAGUCACUAUAAUAGCAUAGUGGUCGUAAAAUAUCUAAGAAUCUUUGGUUCUUUUUCAUCUUCCAACAACAGUGGAGUUUCUUUUUCGCUUUUAGUUUGUUUUUUUCUUUCACUUUGCGUAUUAUAUCAAGAAUCAUCUCAAUAUUUGUCUGUAUCUUUCUAUAAAUGUGUGUGUACAAAGUACGAGUGUAUCUGAGACCAGAAGAUAGUUUUUUUUCCUUUCUUUCUUUUUCGUUUCGUACGACAAUUGGUUUUUCUUUCUUCGCAAAGUUUUGAUUUAUUAAAGAAUAAAGUUUUUUAUCUUUUGUUUAUCCUUUUUAACAUUUGAAUGUUAAAAGAGUUCUUUUUUAAGACACAUUUUGGAAGAGUUAAUUCGAUAAUAUGUAGAAGGAUUAGUCAUCUCCUAUUUUUUAGGUAUACCCUUUUAAUCCAAAGAUUCAUUAUAUAGUCAAUUGCAACAACGGUCUAAAAUAUAAAAGUUCGUUUAUAAGAUAAACUAGUGAUCAAUUUUGUACACUUUUGUGGUGUUAAUUUGAAAAAAAGAAAGUUCGAAAUGUAUUGUAUACAUACUGCAUUUAAUUUGAAACUCAAUUGCAAUCUUAGGUUAUUCAAUUAUGUCAGAAGUUUACAUGAAACAUGUUUGUCUUAAAAAAAAAGACAUGUUAAUCAAUUUUUAAUUGUUGUUAUGGUGGCAGUUACUGGAUGAAUAAGUUUUAAAUAAGAGUAAUACUCCCUCAGUUUCGUUUUAGUUUUCGUUUAAGGUUUUUCACACAAAUUAAGAAAAGCAUUAAAUUUUCUGUUUUACCCUUUAUAAAUAUAUUUUAUAAAAAAUUUCAUUGGUCAAAACAUUAAAACAAUAGAGAUAAUACUGGAAUUUUUACCAAACAUUUUCAUUGAAAACCUAAAACGACAACUAUUAUGAAACAAAAUUUAAGUCAUAAAACAACAAUUAAAACGAAACGGAGGGAGUAUAGGUUAAUAACAAAAAUGGAAGACAAAAUAAAUGACAACUGGUGGACAUCUUUUUAUGUAAAUAUCGAAAUCGUCUAAAAUUAACAAAAAAUAUGGCAUUUUCCCUCAUUGCUAUCUAUUGUACUAAUUACUAGAUUUUAACCCAUGAUAUUCCGCGGUAUACCACAAGAGAGAAGUAGCUUUCAUUACAGACUGCUCAGACUUGGUGAAGACGGUCUCUUCCCCGCACGAGUGGCCAGCGUUCGCAACAUAUCUAGAGACGAUCCAGAGUGACAAAGAAGAGUUCGAUGUUUUCUCUUUAUCUUUAGUUUCUCGAUCGAAAUGCAAAUGCGAAAGCGGAUAACCCGGCUCGAACUAUUCGUAUCCAGCUAUGUAAACAAUUUUCCUCAACAUUGGCUUGUUUGAGCUAAUCUAAUAUAUAGCUGUUGAUAAAAAAAAAGAUAUUCCGCGGUAUACCGCGGAACGAUUUGUUUUUAAAAUUAGUGAUUUUUAAAUAUAGUGGGUAUAUAUUAAAAUUUAAUGGUAAGUAACGGUAUACCACAAGAUAAUUUUUGUUUUAUACAAUUUAUUUCAAUCAUGGUAAUUCGAUAUAUCUAAUAUUGGUGGUGUUAAGAAAAUCAUAGAAUGAAGAUUUAACCGUAUUGUAGCAGCGGGUUAAUGAACAUUAAAAUUUUUUUUGAUUCAAACUUGUUUCGUCAUAUAACCUUGUCCUGCAAUAUAACCCCGUCAUGCAAUAUAACCGUCCCAUGUUAUUUUAACUUGUUAUAUAUGUUUAAAUGUUCUUAUAUGAUAAACUUUUUCUUGAUUUUAAAUAUAUAAAUUAUAAUGUUUAAAACUUCUUAAAAACUCGUCCCGUUAUAUAACAUUGUCUACCAAUAUAAUCCGUCUCGUGUUAUUAUAACUGGUCAAAUGUUCAUAAUAUUAUAAAUUUUUUUAUUGAUUUUAAAUAUAUGAAUUAUAUCAUUUAUAACUUUCUAAAAGUUUAAAAUUUAACAUUUCCAGUAAAAUUAAGCAGUUAAACUAGAAAACCGAAUGAAACAGUAUAUAAUAUUAAAUGUGUAUGCUUAUUAAGUUGAGCUUCUUGUUCAUUCGGAUUUAGAUUCAUUUUGAUCUUAUUUAUAAUAUGAUUAUGAAUAUAUCAAUAUAUAAACAUUGUAGCCGAUAUGGGACGUUGAACACACAUGUUUUUCAUCAAUUGGGUAAUAUCUAUCCGUUUAACAAAUUUCAAAUCCCAAUUUUAACUUUAUGUAUUAUAUGACGAUUCAAAACAGUUAAAAAUAUUCUAACAAAGAUGAUAUGAGAAUUAUAUUUAUAAAUCUUAACCAAAUCUUCUAAAUAUCUAUAUUUUUAAAUAUGGAAUAUUUUGUUCAUAAUUUCGGAUAUGUUUUGACCCGAUCUAAAAUAAUAUGAACUAUCCGGUGUAAAAACUUAUGAAAAACAUUUCUUAUCGGAUCGGGUACCAAUUUGGUCAGAUAACAAUUUAACCCAUCUUCUAACAAAUGUACUUCACAGAUACUAGUAUAGAUUGUCAGCCAUUUUAUUUUUCAUAGGACACAAAUACUCUUAAAUCAUCUCUAGUGAUUUAUUUUUUCUUAAAUCCAAAUGCUAAUACACAGACAGCACUAGUAUAUAUCUUUUUUUUUAAUAAAUGUUAAAUUUUAUUCCUAAAAAAAACCGUUGUUACAACAAUUGUGACUUAGCAGAAAAGAAAUAUAGCGUUUUGUGAUUUACACUUUAGAUUCGAAAAGAGAACCAUAACAUGAGGAGGUCCUCAUAUU
rnacentral:lncRNA from 1 species